AUCUAUGUUACCUUUUCAAUAGUUGUCAUACUCGUGUAUGAUCUAUAUCCCUUAUAUCUAUCCAUGCUUCAUAGGAUACCAUGUACAUUAAGUCUAAUGGAUUAAUUGUUUCGAACAUUGUUUGAGCCCCAGAUUAGAGCAUCAUAGUUUGUUUUCGUCAGCACAAACAAAAACACUACACUACAGCUACUUUUCUGUCUGUUGUGGGUUAUACAGAACUUUCUGCAUGAUCUGAAUAGGGACAUAAAUCAAAGCAUAGGUUGAAAGUUCUCAUAGGUAGCUACAUUUGCUCCAUUAAUCUAUGCAUGUGGGUUAUAAAAUAAAGAUAGGAAAGAUAACUCCUCUCAGAUAGAAUAAUUGCUUCACCACAACAAAAUGAUUCAUCAAAAACUUGUCAGCUAGAGGGCACACCUGAGGAGAUGUGAGACCCGUUUGUUGCGACAGCUGCUGCUGCCUCAUUUGCCCAUGGGCAAAACGUUGCUGAGCAUAAGAAAGAGGCCCAUUAGCUCUUAGCUGCGGAUUCAAACCAAGCGAAUUCAUCACCCCCAUUGUUUGCAUCCCUUGCAAUGCCUGUCCUGAUGAAUUACCAGGAUGAAACUGUGUACCUUGGACCAAACCCAUCUUCUGCCUUGGCUGCAACUAGAGUGAGAAAGAAGUUAAAUUACUCUUCGUAUCAGACCUACUAAAUUUAGCAAAACAUAUCCACAAGCAGUAAAAAAAACUUCAAAACAAUUUGCACUUCGUUUGUUUAGCUGAAAAUGGAGCACAAACAUCGUUAAAAGCUCCACAAGUUUCGGUUUUAUUUUGUUCCAAUACUAUUCACCGGAAGUUAUUCUAGCUGCAAAUCUAGGCUCUCCAAUCAUCUUCUUUGUUUUUCCUUCAAUAUAAAACCAACAAUGAUAAAGAAUACCGUCGCAUUGGCAUGUCAAAGAACUGGGUCUUAUAUAAAAAAGCAUCACGAAUCCAAACUCUCGUUCAACAUUAUUAAAGGAAAACAAGUAAUGAAAAUAAGCAUUCAUUCAUCACAAAAACGAUUCUAAGAAUUCCGAAAAUAAAACAUUUCAUCUCCAAGAAAUCCAUACAAGCGAAUCGCACGUGGAGCAAGAGCAACCGAUUACCUGCGCGAGCAUCUGGGACUGCAGAUUCAGAUGGGCAGCGGUCUGCCCGGGCAGCAUUGGCAGCUGGCCGGCCUGCCCCAAUGUCCCGGCCCUCGACAGUCCGGCAGCAGCCAUCUGCUGCUGCUGCGGUUGUUGCUGUUGCUGCUGAAUCUGCGCCGCGCCAAAGUUCACCUGCCCGCCAUACAUCCCGGUGUGCUGCCGCAUCGCGCUGGCCGCUGCCGCCGCGCCGUACUGCUGCUGAAGCUGGCUUAUCCUCGGCAUCGGCCCCGAUCUCAGGAGGUUCUGCUGGAGCUGGAAGGUCGUGGAACCUGGCAUCAGGCUCUGCUGCUGGCUCGGAAGCUGUUGUUGCUGGGCUUGGAGCUGCUGCUGCUGUUGGGAUUGGGGCUGCAGGGAUUGCUUGGAAGCAUAAUCCAGGGCGGCGGCGGCGGCGGCGGCGGCGGCGGGGUUGAUUUGGGUCUGGUGUUGGGGGAUGUGGGGGGAGGAGAUCUGCGAUAGCUCGUUGAUGGAAGGGGAUGGGGUGAUCUGGGGGGAGGGGAGAUUAGGGUUUUGGGUGUUUGGGGUGGGGAUGGGGUCUCCACCGCCACCGCUCGGGGUGCCGAGGGGCUUCUGAGGGGAGGAGGAGGUGGAGUUCUCGGCCAUUGCCGUCAAGGUGGAGUGCGAUCGAUGAAGGGCAUCACAGAGGAUGGGGAAGAGAAGGAAAGGGGACCGUCCCUCGGCCGGUGGUUUUGAGUUACUCGUUCGCGAACAAAAAUCACGAGGGCCGGGCACCGGACGGAAAUAUGGUACGCGCUUGACACGCCUCCUCCAGUGUGUAAAUAUUUAAAAAGUGUUUUAUUAAUGUAAUCAUUAAUUUUACAAUUAAAAAUGUAAUAUUUUUUAUUUUUAAAAUAUAUUUUUUAGCUAUUUACAUUUCUGAUAAAAAUAUAUAUCAAAUAAAUUAAUAUAUAUUUUUAUAUUAAAAUGAUAAACAAUUGAUAUAACAUAGGAAUUACCGGUGCAUAACAGAUGAUAUAGACCAAGCAAAUUAAUUAUCAAGUAAGCUAAUAAGUUCUUUAGAUAAAUAGUCGGACGAUAUACAUUUAGUAUUAAUCACAAUAUAAUGUACAUAUUCAAAUAAAUUGAUACAUAAUUUUUAAAAUAUUAUAUUCACUGAUAUGCACUAUAUAAAUGGAUGAUACACACUCAUCUAUAUAUUGUAAGCUUCUCUGAUACACAUUCAGCAAUGAUUCAAUGUAUAUCUUAAGGUAAAAAGCAAGUUCUGAAAACUGUGUAUUGAUUUUUUGAACAUGUGUAUUAAAUUACUACGGUGGACGUGCAUCAAAAAAAUUUAUAAUAUAUAUCAAAAAAUCGAUAAAUUUGUAUCACUAGAUUAGGUAGUAUGUAUUGAUGAAUAUAAUAUUCAAAAAUUUAUAUAUAAAUUUAUUUAAAAAUAUAUAUUAGAUUGCUAGAUGAUUGUUCUGUUAAAUAUAUAACACAUGAUUAUAUAUUAUGUAUUGUUGAAUUUUAUAUUUUUAAAAUUAUAUAUCAAUUCACUUAAAGAUAUGUAUGACUUAUUUGAUAAUAAAUUUGAUUGAUGUAUAUCACUUAACAAUGUAUUAUGUAUCGAUAAAAAAUAUGUUUUGAAAAUAAAGAAAAACGAGAGUGUCAUGCUUAUUAUUUUUAAUCACGUAACUGACUAUUUUGUUAGUAGAAGGGUCCUUUGAUUUUUAAAUUUUUUUUAAUAUUGGUAUUGGGAGAAAAAUAGGAAGCCCACUUUUUUUUUUUUUUUUUCCUCUGGUCCCCGCCCGUUUGACGUUUCACCAUUCAGCAAGAAUCCGGGCUUGUGUCGUGGGAGUAAUUUUUUCUUUUAUUGAUGAGGAUGUUGCUCUCUUACCUAUGAUGAUUUAUUAUUCACUAAUAGUCAUCGUGUAUUCCUUUAUUAGACCUUGAGUUUAAAGGACAAGCCUCCCUCUUAUCAAAAAGAAAGAGAGAGAGAGAGAGCAAGCAGUAGCACCAUCCGAGCAAUUGCUUGAUGGUUUGAAGCAUGGGUGUCGAGCUUAGAGUUUUUAAGCCCUUGAUCUAGAAAAUUAGUUUUGUCCUCUUUUGAUCCAAACACUACUAAACCAGAUAUUGUUAACAAACCUUAAAAUCCAUUCGAAGCUACAAUUGGCUCCAAAAAAAAAAAAGGGAUGGAGCUGAUAAACAAAGGAACCAAUAUACGUGCUAAAUUUUGCUAGGAUAAUUCAUGAUAAAACAAGUUUGCUAGAUCCAGUGGUCUGGAUUGCUCUGUCAAAGCUCACCUUGAUCACUUAGUUGCAAUGUACAUGUUACAUGAUUAACUAGUUUGUUACAUCAGAAAAUAUACGAAAAAAAAGGAGAACUUAGGAAUUAUGUUUGUACUAUUAGCAACCAUGUAAGUUUUUUUAAAGAGUGAAACUUAUUUGAAGAGUUCAUGAGAAUGAAGAUGUUGCCCUUGAAGCAAUUUGAGGUUUUCUUCCUUUCAUAACUUCCAUAUUACUCAAGCUGAAGUAGAGCAUCGUUUCACUUGAGUUGGCUUUCAAACUUCACUACAACAUUGAGACAGUUUAUCUAGCCUUGAAUUUCUUAAGGAAUCAAAUAAAGAUAUAAAUUAAACAAUUCUGCUACAUUAUCAUCCACAUACUGCAUCAUCAACGUAAAAAUUUUAAAUCGUUAUAUCAUAUUAUCGUCUAUAUGCUGAUAUUGGUAUUAGCAAGAAAAAGAGUGCCAUCUAUGCAUUUUUCAACAUCAAAAAGUGAUCGGAAAUAACUACAUUCAAUCACAUUUGAAAGUUGAAAAAAUUAACUAAAAUUUAUAAAUAUAAAUUUAUUUAAAAAUAUUUAUGAAAAUUUAGAGAAUUAAAAAUAUAAUUUAACAAAAAAUAUAUGAGAAUUUGGACACAUUUAUUAAUUGAGCAUCAAAAUUGCUGUACAUCAACCCUGGCACUUUCUACAAUUUACAACAAGAAAAAUUUUUUCUUACAUAAUUUAUAUAUAUAUAUAUAUAUGAUCAGAAGCAUGAUAUAUUUCGUUGCUACUCAAAAUCUGGUCUGCUACUCAAAAUCUGACCCGACGAGAUGGAUGGGUAAGUGGUGAUGCUUGAUGGAGAUGGAGAAGCAUAGCUCGUUGUUGGAUUGAAUUUGUAACCAUAGAUAAUAAUUAGGGGUAAGAAUUCUCCGAUGUCUAAAUCAAACAAAUUUUCAAAAAAAAACAAAAAUUAUGAAAGUAAAAGAAGUAUUAUGUAUGAAUUUUUUUUGUUAUAUCUAAUAAUCCAUUGUACUUGAUAUUUAUAGAGAUAAGAUUGAGAAUCUUCGUGAUUGAGAUCAUAAGGUUAUCAGAUGAGUAGUUGAGCUCUUUCUUUAUUUAUUAUUGGAAUGACGAAGAUAUAUCUUAUCACAUGAAUUAUCAUUCAAUUGCUUGUUUUAUCUAUUAGUUAGUUAAUAGUUACGAUAUGUCUUUCUGAGCAAAUUGAGAUCACGUUGGGAUAUAAUUGUUCGUUGAUGGUUCAGAGAUCUACUUGAUUGCUGAUUUCAUUAGAUAUAUAUCAUUGUCUGAUUCAACGAGCUAAGCUGUGAGAGCAAAAAUUUUGGGGCAGCAAAUCCCAACAACCUCAUUCUCAUAUUCCUUGCAGCACAUGAAGCGCAAAUCAUCGCUGGAGUACAAACUGGCGAGAGCACGUCCGUUUAAUCAACAUUGCCGACACACGAUCUAAGAGUGAUUUUACCGUUUCUGGAUCGGGUCACCACCGCACUUACCUGCCUUUCGGGAGCCAAAACCGCGUCCGCCGUUUAGUGGCCUUCUCCCUCCCGCACUCGCUCGCUGGCUCUCAUAAGGCUGAGAGUGAAGAAAGGGUACCCUCUCUCAGAUCUCAGAUCUGGCGCUAAGACCUCCUAGAUCUCGCAUUCCGGCUCUCCAAUCCUGAGGUGUUCUUCUUGUCGAUUAUUCGACUCCGUACCCUCGAUCUAUAUUUUUUUUUGUCAAAAUCCAGCAUCUCUCGCUUAAAUCUUCGAUUUUCUGUUUUCCUAUCUUUUUGAGCAAGUGGUGCUUUUUGUCGAGUGAUUGUCUACGUAUAAAGUAGACGUGCUCGUCUGAAGGAGCUUUUCGAUGAAUUCCAUGGAAGGAUUUUUUUUCCCCCUCUCUCUGCUAAAAUUCAAGCUUUUACACGUUUUCUUAUGGAUUUAUGGUUCUUACACCGUUUUGGCUUGUACUUUUUAAAGAUUGCCUGCAAUUGAUUGCGUUUUUUAGAUACUACUUCUUUACUGCUAGCUUGUCUCGAUUUAUGGGCUUUGAUCGAGACCAUAGAGCAAUUAAUGAGCUUUUGAUAUGUUUCUUUUGUUUCGAUCAGUGUAAGUGCUUGUAAUAUUGUCGGUGCAUAGACUGAUGGCGGCAAGGAGAGCAAUAAAUCCCUCUCGACGAUUGGCUGAUAGCGGAAGUGUUCCACUCGUCAGCUCACUACAUCAGAAGUCACGAACAUCUCCUUUACUAUCGAUUGGUUUGGUUCUCGUGGUAUGUUAAAUUCAUAUGCAAUCAUGUUUUGCUUUUGAAUGGAAUUGCGUCCGCUGCAAGGGAUUAAAAAAGCUUGCAACUUGACUUGCUUGCUUGGUUUUGUACUUUCAGGGCGCUUUUCUUCUCAUUGGUUACUCCUAUAGAGGCUCAGGUCCGUUCAGAUCCCCUGUCAAAUAUAGAUAUCGGAAAGGAACUCGUCUUAUUUUAAGAUGGAAUAUUGCUGAAUUUUUUUCCCUCAUUUAACUGCUUGUUCUGCAUAGAUCAAUUCCUCAGAUCUGCUGUAUGUGAGCUGAAGUUAUAAUUUUUCAAUGACCAGGUGGAUUUGUCAGCGACAAGGAAGCUAUAAGCAGGGGUGGAGGUAGAUGUCUUUAUUUUCUCAUCACUAUUGAUUAUUGUCCAUUGAGUUACUAUUUCCUAGCUCAAUGGUUCUCAAGGGUGUUACUGUUGUCCAGCACACUAUAUGGAAUUUGUUUCUUAUAGCUACAUUGGAGUUCAUCUUGAUUUCAUUCUUACAACAUUAAUUAUAAUGUUUGGGGCUAAAAGCAAAUUUUCGCUUCCUUUUGUGUCAGCGAUAUCAACUUUAGUCAAGUUUACCUCAGAGACUCCAAAGUAAUGCUAGAGUGUUCCUAUUGUAAGAAGUAACAGGUGUCACUUAUUUAGGUUGGCUGAGAUAUCCAAUCAUCCUUGCAUGUGUAUUCCCUGUUGCGGUCAAAGACUUAGAUGGCUCUUAUGGGUGGCUCUUUACGCCCGCGUGUGUGAGCUAUUGUCCACUUUAGCCCAUAUCAGGUACCGCACGGUUUUGUCCCAUAUAAAAGAUGCUGUCCUUCCACAACAGUAGCUCCUCCAAUCAAGGGGACUCUAUGUGCGUGGGCAGGAGAUGGUUCCUCAAGGGCUCGGAUGGUUUGUAUUGGUCGAAUGGCUCAAUCUCUGCACCUGCGUGCGUGAGAUAUUGUCUACUUUAGUUCAUAUUAGGUAUCGUACGGUUUUGUCCCAUACAAAAGGUGCUUCCUGGGGGGAGAGAAUGCCCCAUCCCAUAUAAACCAGAGUUUCCUUUGAUUCACAAUCGAUGUGGGACUAAAGAUGCUGUCCUCCCACAACAUUCCCAAACUUAAAGCUCCUACUUCUUCUACCUCCUUUUUCUGCAAAGCAUAAGUUCACAAGGAUUAAAUUUUACCAAAAUCAAUCUCUUUUUCAAUGCUUAAUGCACAAUUAUUUACUUUUCAUUCUUUCAAGAGGCAAACUAUCUGUUGUGUAAAUGGAGGUUCUUUGCAUUUGCUGUCACUCAUGUUAUGUACAUUUGACACUUUUAUUCUACCUCUCUGAUCCAUAUUCCCCAACCAAAUCUAAUUUGCAAUAAAAGGAUACACACUUGUGAUGUAAUUCUGUACAAUACACAAAUCUUUUAAAGCAUCUUCAACCCUAUAAAAGACUUGCCAUGCUUAGCAAAUGCACAACUCUUUCUUAUUUAUCCUUAAGAUAAUUCCUCAUCAUUGUUUAUUGACUUUCACCUGUACAAAUAUUAUGAAUCAACACCAUACACUGAAAAUUGGCUUGCCAACUAUCUAUGAUUUUCUCAUUUAGAAAGUAUAGACAAUAUUUAUGGGUUUAAAGCUGAAGCAAACUGCAGGCCAACUAUAAUAUGGGCUCAAGAGAAUCAUUAUCAGUAGCUAUAACAGCUUGCCACAAACACGUAUGUUCCAUUGAAGGUAGAAAUGCUGACUGUACUGCCCCAUACCUUAUGUUGUACUGCCUUGUAUUGCAUGCUAUAUCGAGCCGUGCAAUCUUAUUGAUAUAGGUGUAUUGUUUGUGCCAGUGAAUUGUGAGUAGAUAUGAGGGGCAUUCCAUUUUUGCCCGGGUUAUUGGUACUUGAUUGGCAUGCCCCCACACCACAGAAUUUUAAACAUUGGUUUCAUCAAUGUUGCCACUAAGUUUAUGAAGGAUGUCCUUUUUACCCCUAAUACCUACAAGAUUUCCUAUGCUGUUGCUUGUCAUCAAGCUAUUUACAAUGCAAGACAAUGUACAUUACUGCAUUCUUUCCAUUUUAUUAUUAAAUCAUAUAUCCUAGUAAAAAAUUGGUUCAGUUGUAAGUUGUAACCUUCCUCAUCUUAUAUCCAACAUGUUCUUCACAUCCUUUUAUUGGCUUGUUUUCUGUAUGAUGGGUUUCUUUAGUGGCUUCACAUAUUUUUAAACUAAGCAGUGCUGAAACUUUUGAACAUGCUGUGGCAUGUCAAGAUGCUUAUUAGGAUGUUCUGCUCUUAAACGUAUUGCAACUUUAGCAACUAUUAUGUUAGCAAUACAGAUUAUUUAAUCAACUAACUUUCUAAAAGAAAUUGAUGCCUGAAGUGCUUCUCAGCAUGCAACAAUCUUUCAUACGACUUAAACAAGUAUUAAGCACAUUGUACCUGGAGUCAAGAUAUUUUUUGUGGUGUGAGAAACUCUGAAAUAUACAUGAUCUGAUAUUUCUAUGACAUGCUGAUAUGCAAAUGCUGAUUACAAUAUGAAAGGAUGCAAUUUGACAUUCUCCAAAUUUUAGGACUAGGAUAUACUGAUGUGUAAAAUGGAUGAACAAUAUAUAAUCACAGACAUGUCAACAAGUUAAUGAUUUAAGACAUGAUCAAAUGGUUGUAAGUAACUUUUUUCCAGAGAAGUUGACAUGUGUAUGUUUAUAUCUUAUCAUGGAUAAAGUACUUCAAUUUGCCAUUUUCAAGGAUUUCUGUAUAUGCAAUGGCUUUAGAUAUUUGGUCACUGCACAUGCUGAAUCAUUUUGAACACUGAAUCUUAUAAAGUUUAACAUGUAACCAAUGAUACAGUGAACUCAGGUACAACCUAUGUUACUUGAUUGGGUGGUGGUUGCAGGUGCCUAAGUGUUGGACCUUUCCAAAGAAUUUUCUCUUCCAAAGUCGUGUCCAAGUGUCAUGCCAGUGUCUGUGUUCAAUUGCCAGGUGUGGCUACUUUAGGCGAGAUUGAAGGGUCUAAGUAAGAUAGGGUGCAAUGUGCGGUGCAAGUGUCUAAGUAUCUGGUAGGUCACAUUGGGUGUGUCAUGAUAACUGGCAGCAUAACCCUUUCUGAGUGCCCUUAUGGCCUAGGUACAAGGCCAGGACCCUAGACUGCAAUUCAUAAUUAUCUGUUACCAAUUUAUCAGUGUUCAAACAUUUAGAAAAAUGUGGAGCUUACUCCUUGGUUCCUUUUAUCGCAUGUGGAUAGUUAAUGGUCUAUAGUGGCACAGCAAAACUACUACAGAUUGUCCAAUUCCAAAAUUUUUCCAACAUUUAUGUAUACUGGUGUAAAGUUUGCUAUAUUGUUAUUCUGCAGCACCAUUAUCAUUGUUUUGAUCGGUCACCUGCUGGCUACAUAAGCCUGAUGUUGUGGGUUAUGGAUUAUGGAUUCAAUCUGUUUUUCUAAGUUCUCUACAUUUACAAUUAUCUGUUAAAAAUUCAUGGACAUGUUAUACUAUUCUAUAUUCUGGCUGGAUCUAGGGACGUAAUUUUUGGUGCUACAGCAUCUUUCAUUAUGUUACAGAUGUAUUAGUUCUGUUCAAAUGGAUUGACCUUCUUUUCCUUACAAGUUUUCAAUAAAUUUCUCUAUAUCUGCAGGUGGUUCCUGUACAUUAGAAGUUCUACAAGCAAUUCCUAUUCUGAAGAAAGCAUAUGGAGAAAGUAUGCGUAAAGUUUUGCAUGUAGGCCCUGACACUUGUAAAGUGGUUUCUAAGUUGUUGAAAGAAGAUGGCGUUGAAGGCUGGGGUGUGGAACCUUAUGACUUGGAGGAUAUUGAUGCAAGCUGCAAGACCCUUGUGCGCAAAGGCUUUGUCCGUUUAGCUGAUAUCAAGUUUCCUCUACCAUACAGGCCAAAAUCAUUUUCCCUUGUCAUAGUGUCAGAUGCACUGGAUUACUUAUCUCCAAAGUAUCUUAACAAGACCCUUCCAGAUUUGGCAAGGGUAUCCUCAGAUGGUCUUGUUAUAUUUGCUGGUAGUAUUCAGUUCAUUGGCAUCUUUAUUCAUCCAUUCAUAUUUCUCUAACAUUGUCAAAGUUAAUGUACAGCUAAUCACAUAAGAAGACAUUACACUUUUGGUAUAAAACCAAUUUGAGCAAGUGAUUAAAAUAAGAGAUCUAAAAACUGCCCAAUUUUGGGGGAUUUGGCUUGCAAUGGAAUUGAUGGCAAAGUGGAAUUGAUUAAAGUUUAAGAAAAAGCUGCUUUUUAUUUAUAUUUCAAGCAUCAAUCUGACUCCUAUAAGUGUUGCAUGGUUUCCUUAUUUCAAGCAUGAAGUUACCUUUGGUGCUUCGAAUUUCCAUGUUUUGAAUUGGUAAACGGAGGUAAAUUAUCUUUGGAUCAUUAUUUCGAGUUUAUAAUGUAGGGCUACCAGCCUUGGUUAUGUUGCCCUUCACACCAGAAAGUAACAUAGUGGAGAACUUGUGGUGAGGAAAAGGGUUGCUUUGACUGAGGUUUCUUGCUCAUGUAGUAAUCAGGAUAGAGAAAGAUUCAUUAAACAGAUUCUGCAUGAAUGGGGCUUACUAUUUUUUGGGUUCUGGUCAUGGUUGUGGUCCAUUUACAGGAAAAAUUACUACCUUGAUGGAAGGAUUAGACAUGCCUUAUCGUUCAUGUUACAGUUCAAAAAAUGGGUCUUUUAUGAUUGUCAGGUUCAUAUAUGCCUUAUUUUUCAUGUUACACUUCACUACUACAUGUUUGUGGGUGGGCUGGCAUGUUGGGCAUUCAACUGGUGAAGUUAUGACUGACUUUUAUUGCUUCCAAGAUGCAUUAGAUGCAUCAGGACAUGUGUAUGUAUCACAUGCAUAUGUGUGCCUUUGGGCUAAAAUAUAAGAUGGGCUAAAUUGAAAAAUCUACAUCAUUAAAAUGUGAUUUUCGAUAUUUAUAAUUUCUGGAAACCAAAAAAUCAUUGUUUUUUAUAGUUUCCAACUUCUGCAUCAGCUGGAUGCAUAUUGCCCAUAUCCUUAAUUGGAAACAAAUCGUGAAGCCCUGCUUUAUGUUGGUGUAUUAGUUGUAGGCAGUUUGCUGGGGUCUGUCAGCUCCCACAAGGGUAGCAUAUUUGCUAGUUAGAAAGAGUGAAUGAGCUUUAUGAUCUGCCAUGAUUUUCUAUUUGUAUGUCAUAGGCAUGAUGGUGGCCUAUGUUCAUGGUUGCAGAGUAUUUUUUGUUGCACAUACUUUAUUGAGAUGUAUUACCAUGCUUGGGAGCAGGGUUCUAAAAACCGUCAGAGCAGGAUGAUACGGCGGUACCAUACUGUUCUGGUAGAAAACUGGCCUUGGUACGCAAUGUGUCAAUAUGGGAUGCAGUCCUGCACCAUGCAUCCGUACCCUGUACUAUAGCAGUUUUUCAAAAGACUGGUAUGCCCUCCAGUACUGGUUUUUGAAAACCUUGCUUGGGAGUUCCAUAUUCCCUUUAAGAGGUUUAUGUCCUUCACCAUCUAGGUUUAUCACUUUGAUAUAUUUAGCAAAACAAGUGCUAGUGGUGAUCACCUUUUUUUCAGAAGAAAAGUUUAAUCUGGACAUUUUUAAGCUAUGGCUCCAUUAGUGAACUUAUUCUUUGAAAACCAAAGAAGUUUGUGCGAAUAUUCAAAAUCUCGAUUCUAUCAUUUGGCAUUGGUAUUUUGGAAGUAACUAUUCUUUGUUUAAAAGCUUGUGAACCCCUUCUGAUCCUAUCAUCAGGCUUGAUAUCUGCAAAGCCAUGUAAAAUUAUCAUUGUGUACUUUAGCUAUAUUUCAGAACAUUUGAGAGGAUUAGGCCAACGUUCCUUUGAAAGAGACAGAAAGAUAAAUUCUUCAGUUGUCUCAUUCUGGUGUAUGAUUUUAAGAGCCAUAACUUGAUGAAAUAUAUUGAAGUGUUGGUAUAGCCUACUUCUAUUAAGCUGACAAUGGAUCAGGGAAUUCUGAGUUCACAUCCAUCAUGUCAACAUUUUGAUAUAGUGGAAUAUGUGGAACUCCAAAAAUAGAUUUGACUUCAAUUCUGAAUUUCGAGUUCCCUAUUACCUACCAGAAAAAAAAACUUGAAUGUUAUCAUGUUGCCUGCUUAGAUUAGUCAUCAGCAUUUACUAUAGCAGUGGGUGAAUGUAAUCAAUGAUUGCGCUUAAGGAUUAGGUGUCCGCAAUAUUGUCAGUGUCAAGGCAGUAAAAGUUUCCUCUUUUUUUAAUCAGGUAUUUUCUUUAACGAAAAGGAUUAAGUAGUCUUCCUUUCCUGUCAUUCUAUUUGCAGGCUAUCCAGGUCAGCAGAGAGCUAAGGUUUCUGAGCUGUCCAAAUUUGGAAGGCCGGUAUGUACUUUAAUUAAUCCAUAUCUGUUUGCUGCCAGGUGAAUUUAUUAAUAUUCAUGAUCAACUUGAUAGUUAGGUGUUCCCACCUGUGGAUAUAGUGAUUAUCGUUUUAAAACUCUCUUUUUUAUUUUCUAGACAAAACCUUGUAUUUGAUUAUUUUCUAGUAAAAUCACUUUUUGACUUGCCAACAAAUUCAUCUGCUUCUGUGUUGAAUGUGAAUUUCAUAAUCCAUAAUUGAUUUUAUUGUUAAAGGUCCUGUUUCACUUCCAGCUACAUCAUUAUCAUAAUUACCUUUAUGCUUGUAUCAUAUGGUAACAUAAUUCCGUUCAUCAUAAAACUAAUAAUGAUAACUAUUUGGAAACCAAGGUUUUCAUCCUGGUCAUUAUCUCAGUUGAGAUAUCAAUUUGUAUCGGAAUUGGGCAGUCACAAUAUGAUGUAACUCACAUCUCAGCCCUUAUUAUUUCAACCGAUAUAAACUGAUAUAGCUCGAUAUAUCAGCUGAUUUUUAUAUCAAAAUGAUGACCAAGAUUUCCUAGUUUGCCUUUUAGAAUCUCAAAUUGCUUUUUGUAAUUAAAUAUUCAAAUCACUCUUUAACAGGGAACUUAAGCUGGGUUUACUAUAGUAACUGAGAUUUCGGAAAUUGCAUUUCCUUCAAUAUUGCCCACCCUAUUUUCAAGACUUCUAUGUUGAGCAAUAUAAACUAGGAUCUUGGUCUACCUCAUUAUUGAACAACUUUGGAGAUGGUUGAGAUCUCCAUAACCAAUAACAUUGUCAGAAAUGAUGAUUGGACAUGACAGCUGGGUACUUGAUCAUGCUAAGAAAGUCAAAGCUAAUGGUACUAAAUGAUCUCUGGAUUUUUCCUUUGGACUGAAUAGAUUUCGCUACUCAAGAGUUGUUUUCUGCCUCCUCUCUCUCUCUCUCUCUCUCUCUCUCUCUCUCUCUCUCUCUCUCUCUCUCUCUCUCUCUCUCUCUCUCUCUCNNNNNNNNNNNNNNNNNNNNAGUAGUUUGUUUGUUCGUCCUCCUCUCUCUCUCUCUCUCUCUCUCUCUCUCUCUCACUCACUCGCUCGCUCUCUUCUCUCUUCUCCCUGGCUGAGGAGGGGGAUCCAGUCUUGCAUGUUCAGGAGUCACCAUGCUACUAGCUGUGGUUUACAAUACUACUAGAAUGGAACGCUACAAAUGGUGCCAUACCAUUCUAGCAGGUUUCCAACACCAGUGCACAGUGUAUUGUUAGGGGACUCAGUCUUGUACCAUGUGUCGGUACCCAGUAUGGUACCAUUCCCGUAAAAACAGGUACAAGGUGUAGGGUAGUUCAAACCUUGCUGGCUGCCUCUCUCUGUUCCAGUCUCUAGCUCUUCUAGCUCCUUCCAAUUCAUGAACAGGACUGUCUUCUCCUCCUCCUCCUCCUCCUUCUCUCCCUCUCUCUCCGUGUGCGCAUGCGCGGUGUGCGUGUGUGUGUGUGCGUGCGUGGGGUUGGGGGGGUGGGGGUGAGGGUGGCUCUAGGCUUGCAUGUUCAACAGACCAUGCUGGCAGCCUCUCUCUGCCUUAUUCUUUAGCUAAUCUAGUCCGAUAUCAUGCAUGAAUAGGACUUGUAACUUCUUGCAAUGCACCGUCAUUUGUUAGUGGAGCAUUCUGGAGACUGGAUCUGGAGACAAGGUGAUGUGUGCCCGCUGGCCCUAUGGGAUCUUGUGUACACUGACUUUAUGAGCUGUGCACACACUAGAGUUGUGUGACCGCCCGUUUGUAUCACAAAAAAAAAAAAAGAAAUCUACUCCCUUAGUUUCUUCUGACAAAUAGACUUCCAAUCUGGAACUUAAAACUCAAAAUUGUCAACCUCUUCUUCUAUCACAGGGGCUGUGAGUUCCAAAUUUUUAUCACCCUCUCUCCCCAAAUCUUCUAGAAUGGCCAGAGCGUUAACUCUACAGUGUUGUCAUUGUCAAAGUGGUGACACUGAUAUCAUUCUGCUGUGACUGAUUAUUUUCGCACAAAGAAUGUUACUCUUUCUGCGUGUGCUAUUGCAAACUCUAAUGACACAUUGAAUCAAUAAAUCCUUUUCUAUGACAUUGUAUUUGUCUAAGCGAUGACAGUUUGGGAGUUUACAUGUAGGCAAAAUUACGGAGUUCAUCUUGGUGGAUACGAUAUUUUGUUCAGAAUGGCUUAGAAGAGAAUGAAUCUGUCAUGAAGAAGUUUGAGCAGGCUGCAAGCAAGCGGUCAUACAAACCAAGCUGCCAAAUUUUCCACCUCAGCUCAUAGUAUUCAUUUUGGCAUACUUUCACAAAAAAUCAGAGCACAAUGAGGUCACUUUAAAACUCUUUUGUGUCAGGCAUUUUUCAUAUACUUCAGGUGGUUUGCUGCCUAUUAUCAUUUUGUGUUCUGAUUGUAAGAUUUUUGCUAUUAAUUGAUGGAAUUACUAUGAAAAUCUAUGAUUUAACCUGUUUUCCUGGUGCAUUAGUGUAAUUAAUGUUUGAAUUCCCUGUGAUGUGGUCGCAAGACUCAUCUCAGUCAUGUUUUGGUCUUGUUUUAAAAGAAAUGCUGUUUUUGGUGCUUGUAUUUCUGCUCUGAUUCUUUGCGCUUGAUAAAUUAAAAGGCUAUGCUACUAAGGCCACCAAUUUCAAAUAUUCCAGGCUGCUUGUUAUAACUUCUACCAACCAACAGAAUGACCCAAGUCCCUUAAUGGACUGGCACAGUUCCUAUAUUUGAGGUGAACAAAAUGAUAAACCCUGUCCACUUAUUUCAAAAUUAUGGUUUAUUCCUUCGCAUUAUGUAAUCCGUUGCCUUGGGGAACUGAACGGUCGGGCACCUGUUAAAGCCUGCUGUUUUUUAAGCUCCAGAAAUUUGGUCUUUCAUCAGUUCAUGAUUUUUUAGAGGGUGUUUUGAAACAUGGAUCUUGACCUUCUGUCUUUUGACAGGAGCCUUUUUGGAGGGUGUUUUGAAACAUGGAUCUUAACCUUCUGUCUUUUGAACAGGAGCUUUCAGUUGUUAAGUUCACAUGAAAUCAAGUAGUGCAGUGGAGCAUUGUGCAGUGGAGCAUUUGCACCAACGGUCUCAUCUCUGGUUAUGUGGUACCAAGAUAGCAGAGAAGUGUCUGCACUUUCACUUGCUAAACAUGAUUUUUUGAGUUAGUGGGAUUAUUCUGGUCACCGAUCUAUAGUGUUUAGAAUCAAAAUAUAUCACUUCUAGAAUAUCUCACACGUUGUUAGUACACAAAUAAUCUUUAUCUUCAAUAGUCAGAGCAAUCGGUCACUUGGAUUUCCAUCGCUGAAAGAUCCUCGGAAGGGGAUCGGUGCACCUCUCAAUGGUGGCUGAUGAUUGUCCUAUAUGGAAUUGAAACCAACCUAGCUGAUAAAAGGGAGCAAAAACUUGAAGCCUGGGAUGGAUCAUGAUUUCUACGAGAGAAAUUUACUAGUUCAUAUUUUAUUCUGGUGAUCCUCAAAUCCAUUCUGCAUAGCGUGCAUCCAGAGCUGACUUAUAGAGACGGGUUAGAGAAGGUUGGGUUGACCCCAGCUUUCCUGCUUCUAAUUCCUUGUUUUCUGCUGAGAAAUUCCUCCUCUUAAAAUUGCUGUUGCUAAUUCCGGGUUAUCACUUAAUAAGGGGUGGAAUAGUCCCUUAAUCUGGGCUGUUCUCCAUAAUGGUCAUUUGAUGAAAUAUAGUUGUCGAUGGUCUGUAGAUUCUUGCUGUAAAGUUAUUUCAGUUAACCUGGCUCACUAUUCACAAACCGAACAAUGCUUGAGAUGCCGACAUAACUAGUAUUAUGUAAAUGUCUUGCGAAUCAAGGAAGGGUUGUCAAAAAGAGGCUGUAAUCUGCCUUGAAGUCGGCAAUCCAUCUUAGGAUUCAUAUCCUUACGGAGGCUGAGUCUGAUAAACAACCAUGAAUGAAUGAUGGAUUGUUAUUUUUCUCUGACUUCCACGUUGUUUAGUCUUUACUCAUGAUCCACGGAUGAUUAUAGUGAACAACCUCUGCCUACUGAAAAUAUCAUCAGAACCUCCGGUAGCUAUGGAUUCAAUGAACUGUUAAAUCAUAUCUUUCCUCCUUAGAAGCAAUAUACCAACUUGCAGUGAUAGGACGUACAUUUCAAGCAUUCUUCUUUUGAAUGUAUUCAUGUCUCCUGUGGCAAACUGUAUGUUGAUCCGAACCACUUAGAUUCCUUGGUGGACUGUCAAAUUCGUCCAAGAUUCUGGUUGGUCUGUGUUGCUUAUGCAUCAAAUCUCUCCCAGCCCACCAACUUGUACUAACUUUGGUGUUAAGUACAUCCGAGACCAUGCUUCAAAAUGGUUGCCGUCAUAACUGCAAUAGCUAUUAUUCUCUGUUCUAAAGGCCCCUUGUCCUAACAAUACAUAGUACAAUCUAGUACUAAGUUUUAUCCGGGAGACAUGCAUCCCUCUCCACCAUCCACAGACUAGCUCCAUGAUCAUCAUUAUAUUAGUUUCAUGUUGGUACUCAAUCUUUUCCUUAUGUUGAGGUCCUACGUGUGUUACUUAAGUUCUGUUGCCCUGUCAAAACUGGAGAGCUGUUGAAUUGAUGACUGGGAGACAAGGACCUUGGCAUGGCAGCUAUUGAGCCCACGGUAUUUGCGAUUCCCACGUUCUCUUCUUCCACUGUCAGGUUCCAACGGCCAAGAAAAUUCAAAUGGUCUCACUCGAUGGGCAUUCGCCAGCUUCAGAGAACUUUCCUUUAGCUAACCAUUCUAAAAGCAUGACAAUUAUGCAUAGGAGGGUUGUCAAGUUGUCUUCCUCUUAUAAUUUUAGAUUAGAAGUUUAGCUUGUUUUAGACUAUAGUUUGGUAAGAUGUAACAUCAUCUGGUCCAGUCCGAUAUAGCUGUCAUUGGUCAUUAUGUGAAAGAGCCCAGCAUGAAGAUGCUAAGAAGGCAGGCAUCAUGAUCGUUCAAACAUGAGACCACUUUAGUACUCCAUAAGAGAUCUCUGUUUCUAAUUCUUCAAUAAGAAACACGUGUGCAGCGAUCCUUCAGAAGUUCACAGCUUUUGCUGGUGGUGCCUGCAGGUAUUACUUCCUUUUCUUCAUCCCAUUACAUGUACAUGGCCUGCACCAUCAAAUUGAUACGCCAACAUCAUCCCUACUGACAUUUGACCAGCUUUGAAAAUUUGAAACGUUAUUUUGGAUAGCCUGACUUCCUCAAUAACCUGAAAUUUUUAAGUAUGGGUUGGCCAGGAUUAACUCCUUUCUUUAAAGAACUAAUGAUACAAAUUGUGUUUGUGAAUUUCUUUUAAAGUAGAUUAUAAGUGAUGUUACGAUGCUCUAUACGCAAAUUAGGCAGCUCAUUAAACAUUCAUGAGUCUAAUCUACAAGAAUAGUGGAAUGUCAUAUCUGAGACCUUGUAAGAUGAGCUCGGAUUUUGCAAGUAAUCUUCCGAUAUGACAUGAUUAGAUUAAUGACAGCAAAAUCCCCUUGUACAAUUCAGAAUCCGCUGUUAAACACAGUAAAGAGACAAAAAAAAAAAAAAAAAAAAGUGCAACAAAUAGAACUAUCUGGACAGUGACUGACUUUUCAGUCAACCAUUUCCAGCCAAUGCCAGAUUUCUUGUUGAUCUAAAGUUUUGUGUUGCUUGCACGACAAGUAUUUUAUUUGCUCGUUCUUUUCGGCCAUAAGAUAUUAGAUGCAGUUGACUCCAUGAUUGAGUUCAACCCAUGAACUUCACUGUAUUUUUCACCAUAAGUGACCAAAUUUAUCAGAUUAAUAGUCGUCCCCAACGCAUAUACUCCACUAGAUUCUUUUGGCCCCCCUAAUCUUAAAGACUUUUUACCUUCUAGCAGAAAGCUGCGUUUUACCAGAAUAUGGAGCAGAUAAAAUUAAACAGUAAUCCAACGGUGGGAGUUGGUGAGUGGGGACGGGCAAGUGAGUUGAAACUAGAUGGGAGCCCCAACGAACCACGCCACUAUACAUGUAUAAAAUUUACCAAAACAAAGAAUUAAUACAACGUCACCGGAUUUGGUGAGACGUUAAUAGCCAGAAAGCUACGUCGGAUAUAUCGUUCUAAUUAAGUUCCACAUAUUUCUUUCUCCAAAGACCAAGUAAAUUUGGCUUCUCCCUGCGAAAAAUCUAGCUUUGGAUAACACCCCGCCAUUCCAACGUCAUCCAACCUUAAUUAGAGUCUCCCCUUUUUAUAUAAAGCUACCCCUCUCCCUUUGUUUCCCCUCUAAACAAGCACAAACCUUUCUUCAACUCCAUAUUUUUCUCUCAAGCAAGACAAGGAGAAGAAGGUUUCCAAUCUCGCUAAAAAAAAGCUCGGUCUUCUUGCUGCUCUCAUCAUAGUAAUGGAAGGACUCAUUCCAUUCGUUUAUAGGACCAUAGUCCAAUACAAGAGCGGUGGCCAGACUCCUCUGGGGGCUCCAUGGUUGGAGGACUCACCUUCGGCUUCUUACAUGCGGUUGCCCGGUGAUUCUGGUAGAUACCGGGCCUCGGAGAUGCAAAGCUUCUCUUCGUCAUCGGCCCCAACGGUGUCCGCUCCCGGUGCAACGCAGUCUCCUCUGCGGCGGUCUACUUCGCGUAGGCUUUCCUAAAGAUCACGAAGGUGAUCUCGAGGUCCAUGCCCCAGCCUUUUGUCACGUAAGUGGAAGGUGGGGGGUCUUGAUUGGGGGUUAAAGAUCCCUAUCGUCGUGGUCUUGACGACCUGUGUAGUAUUGGUUUGUUUCCCUAUAAUUUGUUCCAAUAAAGGUAUGGGCCUGCCAAAGUAGCCCUGCCCCUUUGCUCUGGUGUCGGUGGAUGUAUUGGGAGUAGAUAGAUGAGGAAAUCUGGUAUGUUUUGGUACCGUCAAAUGGAGGUUUAUGCUUCUACAUUGCAGAGAGAGUAUUUUUUUCCUCUUCUCUCUCUAUCUCUAUUAUUAUUAUUAAUUAUUAUGGUAGCUUUUCUCUUUAUUAUUAUUAUUAUGGUAGCUUCUCCUCAUGCGUAAUCUCUCGUUUUCUUGUUCCCUUUUAUUUUGCCCUCCACAAGGAAGACGGCCGAAACCUCCCCACUUCUGAAAAGAAUUAGAGGUGCGACAUAAUAAUCAGAAACCUCCCCAUGAUGCAGGCUUAAGUGCACAAUUUUAAUAGGAUCCAGUGUCCUAUUGCUAGCAUGAUCACAAAUCUUUGCAGAGGUAGAAUCAUAAAAGAUGAUUAAAAUUGAAGUAGUCUGGGUUUGACAUGUUGAUGCCAUCUUUACUUGCUAGAAUGGUUGCUUACAACCACAAGCCAAAAGCAUUGAGGUUUUGAACGGGUCUUGGAUUUCAUUUUCAUGAUGGUCUUGGAUUGAACGAGUAAAACACCAUCCAAGGAUAUGAAGCAUCCAGAAAGACUAAGAAUUCAAGACUUCAGGAUGGCAAUUGGCCAAAGUUGCUAUUAGUAAGAGAUGGUUUGUUUUAGCAAAAUUGAAAAGAAGAAGAAGAAGAAGAGAGAGAGGGAGAGAUGGUUUGCAACAAUCAUAUUGUGACUUUGCAAUGACCAGCACAAUACUGUAUUUUGUAUUUAUUAAAAAGACCGACCGUGCAAUUUUCUCAAGGAGAAAAAAGACCAUGCGACCACAAACAAGUUAGCUUACACGCCCUAUCCAAUUAUUCUUCUUUUUGCCUAUUUAUCUAUUGACGAUGUUUUGCAUGACAUGCAUUCGAUUCCAGUUUAAUUAGCAUUCUCAUAUGACCUUCAGAAUGGUGUAGGAUACGGUUGUCGGAGUAGAGAUACUCAAAUUAUUUAUAUUGAAAACGCAUCUCGUAAGGAUUUGGUCGUCGAACGAUAGUAACAUUCCACGGAAGACGAGCAUGAUCUCUAGAUAACAUGUUCAUGUACCAUCAAGGUGACAUUACAACACCCAACAAACCACUACAAACUCAUUCACUCCAUCCACUCAUUUUCUAAGUAAUCAAAAAAUCUUCUAUCAAACCAGCACUGAUCAAUAUAUUAAUCCAAGUCUACCACCGUUAAAAUACUUGCUCUCCUGAUCAGUGAAAUGGUGGAACUAGAAAGAAGAAGAGGCCAAAAAGCACUGGGAAUUUUUUCCUAGGAAAAAGUCAAAAGAGAAAUAUCAGCACAUUUCCCCAAUUAGAAAGCAUAAAUAAUCCUUGCAUCCGAAAAGGGGAAAAACAUGUGUCCGAAUAAUAAAUGAAAAAACUUGACAUCUUCUAUGCCUGUAUCAUUAUUAUUGCAUUGUUCAUGUAAUCUGCAGCAAACAGUGACUGUAGUGGCUUGGAAGGAAGCAGUCCAUCCUACAAAUUAUAAUGUCCAACGGAACAUGUAACAUUAUGACAGUCAACGAUGGAAAUGAUCACUAGCUUCAAUUGGCAGUAAGAGUACCAAGCAAAACUUAGAUUGAAGUUCUCAUAGCAUUUAGAACCUUUAAACAUUUUGCAGGUUUUAAAGCAAAAUUGGAAAUCUGAGAAAAACAAAAUAUGCUUCCGUCUGAAAUCCAAAUAACUGAAGGGACACCGUAAAGAGACCAAUUCUGAUCAGGCCGAGUAGCUCACUGCUCACUCAGGGUAAGAUUAUCAUUGCCAUAGCAAUUGAGAUUUUCAAUGACACUGGAAAAACAAUAUAUAUACAUAUAUAUGUGUGUGUGUGUGUGUGUCAAUCAAAGCAUCAACUCCGGUCUCAUGGUUAAGACAAGCAUAAACACGAUUUAAUAGCCAUAUGGCCGAAAAUACAGUAGAGAUGGUAUUUACCGGGCUGAAUCUAAAUCUACAUCAAUGUUCAAUCAAUCAGAUCCAGACAUCCCACCGUGAUCAAUGUUCUAGCCAUUAGAAAACUACAAGAGAAGAAUCUUGGUUAAACACCACACGCCUAAACGAGGUAGGGCUUCAUACACUAUAUGUAAUGGACAGCUGUGAUCUCCCAAUCAAUUAUAGAUUUAUCAAAAUUAGAUGGCUUCUCAACAUACCUACAACAAUAGCUAAGGUUGCAAAUAGGUCGGGUUGACCAAUUAUCCAACUUAAUUUGACCAGCUUAGAUCCUACCUGAAUCCAAUUUAACAACACAUGAGGCUACAUCACAUUCCAAAUUUGUACCCAUUUCACAUUUUGGAUCAGAUCCCGAUUUAUUGAGUUCUAACCUGAUUAGACCUGACAUAGCAUAAGUUAUGUGGUUUUUGUGUUAGCAUCUAAUUGGACAUAUUUCAAUUGUGGAACUAUUUAGCAGGAAAAGUAGGUCAAAAACUCGAAAACCAUAAAUGACCUAUCUUUAAUUAACUUGUUAGAUUCUUUGAUCUUGUUUCUUAUUUUACUCCAUGAUUUAUAAAGCACUAACCUUAAAAAAAGUCGUACAAGUUUAUUUUAAUUGAAUGUUUAACCCACAUACUGAUCUUAGGAUAUAAAAAAUUUGUAAACUACAUUUAUAAACUUCAUUUAUGCACAAUAUGGUAGAAAUGAAAGCAUGGUGCUUGAAAGCACUAGGAAUUGUCUGCCGUUCAUCCAUCGCCAAUUAAUUAAUUUGAAAUAAAUGGUGUCACUAUCCAACCAACCCAAGCUUUUUAACCUGAUUUAAUUCAUGACAAAGGGGAUAUUGUGACAAACUAGAUACCUGAGUAACAUAAUAGCAUUCUUGGCUAGAAAGUUUAACUUUCAAAUUGUAGAUUAUUAAUAUGACUGACUUCGCAUUUUAUCCAUAUUCUGUUUCACUCAAUGAUAUCUUUAAACAUAAUAAUUCAUUUAAUCCAUAUGUAAUGCUUGACAUUUGAAAUUCUUUUCAAUUGUUUUCUGAAUAUUAUUGAAAAAAAUUAUUAUAGUAAACAUAUCACAACAUACUUUCAAAAAGAUAUUCAUAUCUUAUAAUGAAUCUAGAACUUCUUGUCCAAAUUUAACUCUUUCAUUUUAAAAUUCCACACACACACUACUUUCAAAAAGAUAUUCAUAUCUUAUAAUGAAUCUAGAACUUCUUGUCCAAAUUUAACUCUUUCAUUUUAAAAUUCCAAAAAAUUAGAGAUCUAAAUUUUUUUAUUAAGAUCAGAUUAUUCAUAAACCCAACCUAACUCAAAUGAUUCAUUAGAUUAAAAAUUUUAACAAUGAAUCCAACCCGAUCUUUUAUUGGAUUGGAUCUAGAUCCAACAUUGGGAUCCAAACAAAAACCCAAGUUAGGUUAGUGUAACAGCCUAAUUUGACCCGAUCCAUUUGCAUCUCUAACUACAACCAUUCAAUUUCAAUACUUUUCACCGAAAGAAAUAAGGACGAUUCAAUAAGUCCUAUUUAAUGAAGAUGGGGAUAAUGGUUCCAGGCCCCUAACCAGGUGCCCUGCAUGUCUGGACGAUGCCACACAUGGCUAAGAAACUUUAUUAGAAUAUUUCAAAUAAAGAAAACAAAAGAAAGUAGUUUCAAGUGGCAAAAUUAUAAUUAUUUCAGAUCAAAAAGAAAACCUUUAUGAAAAGAUCUUUUAAAGGUGCGAAAAAAACAUUGAUUUCCAUCAUGUUCAUUGAUGCCAUUCAAUGGCUGCUAAAGCCUUAUAAUCCUUCAGCAAGACACUGAAGCGAGGAUGCCACAUUCACCAUCCCAUGCCCUCACAUAAAUACACUGCUCCCAAUGCCCCACAAAACAAAAGAAACAAAUCUACAUCGAUAAUACAUUAAAAGAAAGCACAUACACAAAAAAAUCAUUGUAUUUUCUGUUCAAUUUAGAUCAUGUGCAUCAUGUCAGUGUAAAUACAUCCAACGACCUACAAAUCUUACACCUCAUCUGACAUUAGAUUGCUCAUAACAUUUAGGGUUCAAAUGGCAAGGCCUAGCUACAACGGAUAAUACAGAACGAAAACAAAUUGAUGUAGCCAACCUUGGAUAGCCCAGUCUACCAGAGUGUGAUAUUAUAACCCACAGAUGGUGGAUAUUGAUCUUGAUACAUUGAAAGUGCUGGCGUUUUGGUGGCCUGCUGUACUCCAGUUCUUUGAACUUUCAGCAUCUAAACCUCAUAAGACUCAAAUGCCGAAUUGGCUGAGGAUCUGCCAUCUCAUUCUUCUUUGAACAAAACUGAAGAAUCAUUACCAAGAGACUCGAUGCACCCAAUAAUUUCUCCCAGGCUCAUAUGCAGAAUCCAAAAACAGCCUGGAGUAUAAAAUCUCCAUGAACAAAACUAGAAGGUUCCAUCAGACCCCUAGAGAAAAUAAGCAACCUCUGAGGUGUUUUUUAAUUAAUUUUAGAAGUGUAAUUUGCUCUGGAAUUGAAAAUUAGUAAACUGGGAUGAAUGAUAAAAUUUUCAAACCUAGAAAAAGGGAAAACCGGUGCGGCUAGCAAAUGAUGCACCAAAUUGCUUCUUUACUUGAGCUUCAGGCUCUUUUUACCUUGCUUCUGCUCAUAACGAUGGCCCUGAAAAAGACAAAAAGCUGUUCUAAAUACAAGGAAGCCAAGGGCAACACACAACUAAUAAUGAUAGUAUUAUUUUUAUGCCACAAAAAUAUUUCAAAGGUGACAACCUUAAAUAACCGGUCCCACCAUCUAACAGAUUUUUCUUGUGAAAGAAUCCAAUCCAUGGCCAUUUCAUAUUCAAUUGUAUUAGGCUGGGAACAGUGUGAAGUUGACAUAGCCCUUUUCUGAAAACAGAAACAACUUCAGCAUACGGAAAGAGGAGAACAGAAGGCCAGAAGAUAAUGGCUCUAGCUUAAUUCAGGAAAAGCAACAACAAUCACCAUUUCCUCUCGUUGCAAUUGGGGCUUGAGCUUGACUGAGUAAUGACCAGUGAAUGUGGAUGAUUUUGGCUGUGGCAUCUGCAACAUGCCUUUGCUGCAAAUAAGGGGUCUGCAAAAACCAAUAGUUUGCACCAAACCAGAGGAGGGAGGAAGAGGAACAACUGUAGUCAUUAUAAUACCUUCAAAAAUUGGGAGAAAAGUGGGGAAGGGGGGCGGCUUUAGUGAUCUUGGAUAUAUAAAGAUGUUGGCUAAAAAAUUCUAAUAUCCACGAAACAAAUAAAAAAAUAAAGUUACAAUUAUCAAAAAUUAUGAAAAGGCAUUAAGUUGCAAUUAUCUCAUAUGCAGGGAACUAAAUGAUUAGAAACAAAAAGGAAACAAGAAUACAUUACAGUGGAGGAAGUUUUUCAACUGAGAUAUCCCCCACAUUGUGGGGCUACCUAAUUUAGUUACUUUAAAACAGGGUUAAGCUGAAAAAUGAAUUUUUAUUAAUGUAACUAGGGCUGUUAAUGGGCUUGGCUUGUGUUGGUCCACUUCAGGCCUAGGCCCAGCCUGGAAUUACAAUUAUAAGCCCAGGACUAGCCCAAGCCAAGUCAUCAAACAAGUUAUUAGACUCAGGCCUGACUCAGCCUAGCGUUGACCUGAAGAUAUAGGCCCAGGCCGAGGCCAUGGCCGAAUGACAGAGGGCUUCUCUACCCCAUCAUGCACAUCACAACAAGAUCUUCAGAUCUUCUGCUGCCCAUCCCCAUCCCUAUCGUUAAGGACCUCCACCAACCCUGCCCACCAUUUCCUGUCUUCUGCUGCCCACUAUCCACUGUUCACCUCUCACUUCUCUCCACCACGCAUCACUCCUCUCUUACCCUCUCCCUGCCCACUACCCACCAUUCCUCCUCAACCAAUCACCACAAUCCUGUCCUUUAACAUCCACCGCCCAUAGCUUGUCCCUUCUGCUGCUGAAUCAUGCUGCAUCGACCGAUUUAGGGAUACCAAACCAGACCAGUUAGAGACCAGUAUGGUUCCAACUAUUAAAAUGGUUCAACCUCCCAUUCCCCCUCGCAACUCAAUUCAGCCCUCCUCCCUUCACUCGCAAACACCGCCGCACCCCCACCCCACCCCCUUCGGCUGCUCGCAAUUGUCCCCCUCCCCCCUCAUGCCGCUCAUAUUCUAGUAAGCUCCCUUUUGCCCCAUCUCUAGGUUGGGUUAGGGUUUCCCCCGCCCUCUCUGGCUCACCUUACAUCAGUACGCUCCAAAACGGCAUGGCACGGACUCAUACCAUGCCGAAUCGGUUGCCAGUCAGUGCCUCUUCUAGUACCAGUUUAGUGAACCUGGGUUCAAACUCACCAAAAUAAAACUAGCAAUAGGAGGAAAAAUCGGUGCGAGAUUUACAUUUUCAUGGGCCCGAUUAGGCUUGGGCCAACCCACCAUCAAGCCUAUAGGCAUGUGGACCUCUUUUUUUUUGGUGGGGGGGGCGGGGGGGUGUCAAGCCUAGGCCCAUGGGCCAUUGUAAGCCUGAACCUCUAUUGGCCCAGCCCAAUGGGCCUAGGUUGGCCUGGGACAAUUAUCGACCUUAAAUGUAAACCCUAAAGAACUUUAACCCAACAAAUAAAACUGGUCUCUAAUAUUUAUCCACGGAUUAACUCAUAAAGCUAUAUGAAGUAAGCCCCGGUUCACUUACCUUAGAAAGGAAUGAAAACAUUAAUAAGUCAAUUGCAAUCAUGCAUCUCUACGAAUCACAACAUACCAAGUAAUAAGUUACCAUAUCGAACAUUUUCCAUUGCACAAGCUCCUACACAACUUUUGUCCAAAUAUUAUUUUUCAGUGGAUAAAUGGUCUCCAAGGUGCAUUAUACUAAUAGUAAUUCAGCAAGCAGUUGCUCAUAAAAUAAUUACUUUCCAAUAAAUUGAAUGGAUUUGCGGUUCAACCAAUGUUGUCAAAGACAGUCCAAGCACCCACUCAGGUGCUUAGGCAAGGUGAGAAAGACCCUAACAACCUUUAUAAUCCUAGGUGGGGCAAGUUUACUAAGACAUCGCUUACGUGAGCAGCCAGGAAAUGCGAGAGGCAUCUAGACAAGUGCUUCUCAAAUGGUAAGCAAUAUCAUUCCUAACCCUUUUUCAUCUAUUCUUUUAGAGCUUUGCAAGCUUUACUCUGAGGGUUAUUGUGGUCUCUAGGAGUUCUUGUAAAUAAAAGGGCUACUCUAGAAUGUUCAAUUGAUUUUCCUUUUUUAAUGAUUUGCUUUAUUUAGAAAGAUAAAACCUUUGGCAAGUAGUAUAUUGUUACCGUGUUUGAAUUUUUGCUACCAAAUAUGUCAAUUUAUUUUUGCUGACAUUGUAUUUCAAUGUGAAAUUUAGAAAGCAUUGAAACACAAUAUCUGAUAUACAAGGCAAUUAUAUUUUAUGUUAAAAACCUAAAUAACUAAUCUUAUAAUGCUUGUAUUAUUUUCAGAUACAUAUAGUAUUUUUUUUCUAAUAUAUUUAUUGAACUUCUCUUGAAUUAGCACUUUGCAUUCUUUAGGCGAGUGCCUUGUUGGUGCUUAGCGCCACAUGAUAUAGGAUUCUUGUCCCCUUAAGGGCCUGUUCUCUUGUAGGUAAAUAUCAUAGGAAAGUUGAUCAACUUUAUAUUGACUAACUUAUCCAUAUUCUCAGAUUUUUCAAGAUGGAUAAGUUACUUUCUUAUGCAUAGCAUUUAUCCAUCAAAUGGAGAAAAACCUUACCCACCUGGAAGAUGGCUAAAUCAUUUUCCCAUCAACCAAAAAAAUAAUAUUUUUAAUUCAUUCUUAAUAUACCCUUAACCUUAUAAUAAUAAUAUAAUAUAUUAUAAUAUAGUAUAUCAUAUAAUCAAGAUUUUUAGAACCAACUCGAACCGGACGGUUCGGUGUGUGCCAAACCGAACCAGUGAAGAACCGGGACGAUUCUGACUUGAAAAGCAGCACACAUCUACACCGAGGAAGAAAGAGAAGAAGAGAGAGAGAGAGGAGAGGAGAGGAAGAGAGAGAUGUCGUCGAAGGCCAGCGGUGGCCCACUGCAGUCGCCAGAGGGCCGCAGAAGCCUCCGCAGCUGGAUUCGCCCGAUAGCACCAUUAAACAAGAGAGAAAGAGAAGGGGGAGUGACUCAUCGAAGGGAGGUCAGGACAAUGGAGGGAUUGUCGGAGUUUUCGGGGGGCCGAUGUGACCAACGGGCAGCAGAAACCAUGCAGGUAGAGUCACGACCGUGAAACAGGGGCGACAACUUCUGUUCACACGUCAACUUUUUUUUAAAAACAGAGAUGAAUAGUGAAGCUGGCAAACCAUUUGCCGGCUUCAUUGUUUAAGAGAUUUUUAAAAAAAUUUAAAAAUGAAGUCAGCAAUUGGAUUAACGACUUUAUUUUUUUUAAUUUUAAAAAAAAACAAAAGCAGCGAAGCUGGCAAACCAUUUGCCGGCUUCACGUAAGUUUCGAUUUUUUAAAAAAUCCUGUGAAACAGGGGUGUCGCCCCUGUUUCACGUCUGCAGUGCCGUGCAAGUGGACUGCGCCGUCGGGCAGCAAUGACGGCCAGCCGAAGGCCAUCUGACAACCCCUCCGACUCCCCCUCCUUUUCUUUCUUUCUCCCUCUCUAUUUCUCUUCCUCCUUCCGAUUCCCUUGUUUAGGUUCGUGUCAGUCCGGUAUGGUGCAGACCCGUACCGCUGGCCGACUGACACGGGCUCCGAUACCGAGUCCACUAACCUUGCAUAUAAUAUAUUAUUAUAUAUAAUAACAUAAAAUAUAUUAUUAUAAUAUAAUAUACUAUAUUAUAUUUUAACAUAGCAUAUUCUAAUAAUAAUAUAAUAAUAUAUAAUAAUAUAAUAUAUUAUUAUAUAUUAAUAUAUUAUAAUAAUAAUAAAAUAGUACAUUAUAUUAUAUUAUUAUAUAUAAUAAUAUAAUAUAAUAUAUCAUAUUAUACUAUUAUAUAUAAUAAUAUUUAUAUAAUAAAAGAUAUUAUGAAAAAUAUAAAUAGAUCUUAGCAACUUAUCCAGAAAAUUAGUAAUGCAAAAGAACAUAGGUAACAGAUUCCCGAGCCAUUUUUCAAUGUAUAACAGAACAUGGACAAAUUAUAUUCCUAUCUAAAUAUUGUCUGAAAAAUACUUAUCCAAAAAAUAUAGAUUUUUGGAUAAAUUUUUUAUUGUCAAAAGAACAGGCCCUAAGGGUGCUCUUUGCUUUUGACAACCUUGACUUUAAGUUAGUUGUCAUAAAGAUGUGGUGAGGUAUAUGAGAAUGUUAGAGAUUUUAACUAAUGCCAAUGAAUGAUGUCCCACAAUAAAUGCCACCAAAUACUGUACCAUGUAUAGGACUCAACCAUGCACUUGUAGAAUUUGAUACUGGAUUAAACAAUUUUUAUCCACAUAAUUGCAUCAAGAAUGUGCCUACUGCAUACUAGGUGGUACCCUAAUAGAGGGAUGGGAAAGGUGCCAUUAAAUUGUUGAUCACAGACUAUAAGCUCAUGUAGGGACCAAGCUUGACGCACAUCUAUAGCAAUUAAGGAAAAGGAGUUUUCCACUAUCAAAGAUUUAACAAGUAUUAUGUCAUCUAACAAAUAUUUAUUGCAAAAAAAAAAAAGAGGAUACCUUCCAUCUGGUAGCAUCAUACAUCUCGUGUUGAUUUUUGAAACAGCAUGAUCUGCAGCCUCCUUUGUUUUAAAAAUCACAUACGCUUGACCUAUGAUGCAAGAACAUUCAUCACUAUUGUGCUACUAGAAAGAAGGAAAAGCAGUUUAGUGGUGAUGCAUCUAGCAAAGCAAUCAUAAAAAAUAACCAUGUAGAAAUGUUUCCUCAGUUGUCAUUCUAUUCUUUUUCCUCCUGAAGUGUCUAAAAUGCAAGCACCACUACCAAAUGGAUUUGUGUGAUAACAUACCAUAAUUAGGAUCUUGAAAUGUAGCCUGCUGAAUGACCCUUGCUCUGCAACUUUGUUUGAAAGCAUGAUAGAAGAUAUCCUAUAUACAAGACAGAUUACAGAGGAGUACCAUAAAGAAUCUUAUGUAUUAAAACAUCUAAUACUGAUUCAUUCAAAGCAAAAAACUAAGGGUUUGUCUGGUUGGGGGUAAUCUAGCAUGGAAAAACAUCCUGUUGGUACAAAAAGAUGAGAGUGAUGGUAAAUGGUGGGUCCCAUGCCUAUUUUACUGAGAGAAGCUAAAAUAAAUACCACUAGGGAGGCGAUACUUUUCUCCCAUGCCAAAUUACCAAGCGGAGGUAAUCUAAAACUAUCAUUGCUUGACAGAAAAGCCCCCGCUUAUACAAUAUUCACAUUAUAUUAAUUUUAUUAUAUAAUUAAUACAUUAAUUAUAUUAAUAUAUUAUAAUUAUACAAUUAUCUUAAUUACUAUAACUAAUUAAUAUAUUAUAAUUAUAUAAUUAUCUUAAUUACUAUAACUAAUAUGUAUUUAUACUAAAUAUUUAUAUUUAUAAUUAGUUUAUUAGCUAUAAUACAUUAAUAAAUAUAUUAAUUAUAUAUAUAUGAUUUAUUAUAGUUAACAUAUUUAUUAAUAAAUAUAUUAAUAAAACUUAUAAUUAACAUAUUUAUUAAUAGAUCAAAAAUAUACUAGAAUUUAUUCAUAAUAAGAAAUAUAUUUUUCUAAUAUAUGUAUAAUCAAUUUAAAAAUAUUUAUUAACUCAUGUAAAUAUAUUUCAAUAUUCGAAAUGGCCCAUGUUAAUAGCCUUCAUGUAGGUGGACCGUAAAUGGCCAACAAAUGGAUUGAACAAAAAAAAAGGUCAUUACUUGAAUUGUUUAUCCAAGGGCAUUGUUAAAAAUUUAGUAAUAUUCCCAUAUAAGAUUACCUUCCAUCAAACAUAGUAAUCUUUUUCUAGUACUAUUUUUCAAAAUUAUUUUUUUACCAAUCAAAUGUCGUAAAAUUUAUUUACCCCCACAAUCAUUUUCCUAAAUAAAUGAUUUCCACAAACUAUCAAAUUAUGAAUCUGACAUACCCGAACCAAAAAAAAAAAGAAACACAAGCAAAGAUCAAUUGCCAGACAACACCCAGAAUAUAAUAUCGAUCUAAAUAUAGUGCAUCAAGGAUUCUAGUUGUCAUCGUGUUAGACCACUGCAACUUGAACUUCACCCUUGUAGCUUAGCCAGCUUUUGGGCUUAAUCUCCCUAACUUCAUUGCAAUUUUCUUAACAACUAAGAUCGUAAACUAUAACUUAUGAACUCGCAGUAUCAUUAUUAAGAAGAUCAAAAGACAAAGCUCACAUUCAAAAUUCAUAGUAUAGAAGGCCACAAACAAAGGCAGAAGAGGAAGCUUCAUGAGUAUUGGACACUUGACACAUGAACUAGGUACUGUCGAAAUUAGCAAUGAUUUACCCAGAACAACUAAAUUUUCUGACAGAAUGUGUUCUCUAUCAAAGAAACAAUCAUCCAAAUCAACUGCAUCCACUUCCUCCUACACUCUAGGAUAUCAGGGAUCUAGCUAAUGAACCACAACAUCUUGUUCACCAUAAGCUAGCCACAUUAUGUGAAGUUCCAUCAGCCCUAGAGGUCACAAACCACACCAUACCUAUCAUUCGUAGGAGAAAGAGCUCUAAGAGGAGCAAACCACCUGAUCGUCCUAGAAAUUAUCGAGUUCACUACCUGCUGUGCAAGGUUUUACAUGCCACACUGGAGCCACCCAGCAUCUAAAGAUAUUUUCAUGACAGGACAUGGUAAAGUAUCUAAUGCCCAUCAACCAUAAAGGCAAUUGUCUCCUACUCUUCCAUGCAAGAUCAGUACCAUCCUAAGCCGCCCCUUGCGGCCNNNNNNNNNNNNNNNNNNNNCCCCCCCCCCCCACCAAAAAACCCAACCAACAUAUUUUAAAAAUAUUCCCCUGAUGAUUCUUUAUCCUGAUAGUAGCUUUCUUAGCUGCUUUGCCGCCCCAUAAGCAUUACAUAAUAUUUCUCAUGUGCUCCUUGAAUUGUCAAAGCUAUAUCUAUAUAUUGUCACCCAUAAGCUGCACCUAUUAUUUUCUUAUGAGCAUUUGCUUCAGUCCUAUUUACUUUUUUAUAUGUUUGUGUCAUAUAUGACAAGAAGAUCAAUAACAGGAUGCAUGUCUCCUUUUUUCUUUUUUUUCAAUUUCUCAACUUCAUUGAUAUUAGAAGUGAUCUUUAUUGUUACCAAUCCUGAUUUUCUAACAACUUGCCCAAUGUCAACAUCAAACUAAAUUUAAUUAAUACAGGACACCAACUGUAACCAUCUGGAAAAAGUUUAGACCUUGCUCGCUAGGGGAAAAGAACAGAAAAAAAUACAAUAGCAAGAAUGGAAAGGGAAAAUCGCACCAAUUAGUUGACAAACAAUACAGAUCAAGUUAAUCAAAGUUAGAAGCAUACCUCUAUUUCUGAUGAUGCAUAAUGUGGAUCAAAAUUCUCAAUAAACACAAGGGUUCCUUGCUCAUCAGCAUUCUUCAUCCUUACUUCCCAAGGCUGAAUAAUCGAAUAAGAAAAACCAAUAGCUCAAAUACACAUUAUUAAAAAAGUGCUUUUAGCAUACAUUAAAUACUGAGGAACAAGAUCUGAAUUUCUUGCUUUAUUUCUUCAUUGCUUGUCAAAUAGAAGAGAGACGAUCUGUCAGAAUCUCAAGAACCAUGAGCAUGGAUAUACCUAACCUCACAAGCUAAAUUUGUAGUACAAAUAUAUAAAUAGGACUAGCACCUAAUUUAAACACCCUAACAAACCAAAAGGUAGGUUGAACUUUUUCAGCAUUAUUAAUAGAAUAAACUCACAAAAAUAGCUCAUAACACGGAUUGACUUCUUGUUAGAUGUGAUGUUGCACUCCUGCCAUUAGAUGACUGUAAAUAUUGUUUUUCUAUGAUCAAGAAAUAUCGGUACAAACCUUCGUUACCAGAAGCAGGGGCAAGUGUGGGGGUCGGGUUGGGUGCAUGCAGGGGAAGUCAGUCUCUUUAAAAAAUUGAACGAAAUGUUUAAGAAGCGGGUGUGUGGCAGAUGAGUUUCUAGUGAGAUUCGAAGCAGGUUCACCACCCUAAGUGGAUGGUGCCAUACUGCCAUCAAUUAUGGCAGUACCACAGUAAUUAUUGACAAGCAGGCAGCCAUAACUGCAGUAAACAGAAUCUGAAUAUGUUCAAAGCCAGAAAGACAAAAAAAAAAACAGAAUAGGCAAAAAAAAAAAAGCCCAGAAAUGGUAAAUAUAUAUUGCACUGCACAAGGAUGACUAAAUUAGCUGAAUUGCACUGGAUUAAUAGAAAAUCAACUAGCAACGCAAGAUGUGUACAGCUAACACAAUUGACUGUGAUUACUUUGUUAUGGAGAAAUCAUGUGAACGAAUGAAAAGAAGAGAAAAUGGUGGUAAAAAAAGGCUACUUACAAGUCCCUUGAACCACUUGCUUCUAUCCUGUUAACAUGAAAAUUUAAAAAAAGAAAAAAAGAAGUAGAUCAGCACUGAAGUUUUCAUGGUUUUGCACCGAAAGUAACUUUUGACACAAAAUAUAAGUUAAAAAAUACAAAUAAAACCAUUUCCAGAUGCCCGGAAAGAAAGGCCUUCAACUAACAUGCUGAAGUUACAUUAGCUCAAUCCCAGUGCUCAAGGUAGAUAACAUGGUUAUACACUGUGUACUUAUUCAUUCCUUUUAUUACCCUUUGUCAAUGCAAUCAUUUGGACGCUACAACCAUUUUUCAUGUACUUCAAACAGCCAAGGUAUGGACUUCUCCCUAACUGCUUGACUUUUUCCUUUUUAAUCUAGAAAAAAAACCUUGUCCAAGGACAAUGAUAUCACCAGUUCUAUAUUCAAGAAAAGACACUUGACCAAACGGUUAGAACAGAUUAGCACAUACAACAGCAUCAGAUGAGAUAAACUAUCACUUACCAAUCAAAUUUGUUCCAUCAAGUAAAGAAGGGAAGGAAGAACCAAAAACAAUUAGACUUAUACUAAAUCAGGUCAGGUGGCCUAUUAGAUAUCAAUCGAUAUUUAUAGGUAACAGGUAGAUAUAUGGUUGAUAAAGUUGAAACCCAGAAUUCCCCUUGCAUAGAUGUGAAUACACAUAAAAAAUGCUGACUGUUCUAGGCCUAUAUCUAUCUCGUCACCCGAUAAGCCCAAUAUAACAUUCCAAGAAGGAACAUUAUUACCAAUAGCCACAUUUUAAAGUUUCAGUUUCAAAGUCCAUCCUCACUUUUAAUAGGACCUGGAACGCUAUGGAAUAGAUCAGCAACAGAGAGGCAAAACCAAAAAGACGUUAAGGAUAUUAAAAGAUGAGAGAGCUGGACAGAAAAAUUCUAAUCAUAUUUGAGCUUAAGUGCAUUCUUGUGUAACAUGAUGAUCGCAAAUGACAAGAAUAUGUUUGCCAUGUUACAUUAUGUUAUGAAUGGGUUACCAGUAAGAAUGUUUAAAUAGAUUCAGGAUUGUGAUGUCCUUCUGCCAGUUAAAGGCAGUGCGGCAAUUAGAAAACCAAAACACCAGAAGAAUAAUACAAGAAAUCAGCAUUUACUGAUGUGUAUAUAAUUGCGAAUAUGUUUCUAAGUAGCCAAGCGAUGCUAUUCACAUAUACACCAUCAUAGAAAUUUUGACCGUAGCAUGUAUCUUCACAAAUAGGCUGAUAAAGCCUAUCAGUGUGCUUUUGCCGUUAUUUUACUUCUAAAUCUAGAAAGUGAAUGUUCUGCUCCAAUACUGGAUAACAUUGGGCCAGUUAAUUAUCAGCCAAUUUGGAUGAAUUAUAUUCUACCUGUUUGUCACUGUUGUAUGUUCAGCCAUACCAUGAAAAUCAAGUUUGCAUGAAAAUCUUAUAAUCUCAGAACUAAAACUCAUUCCAUACCAUAUCCUCUGUAGAUUUUACCACAAAAAUUCUCCUACGAUUCGUGCAUGGAUAAAUAUAAUCUAUCAUUAAUAGUCACAAGUCCAUUCACCAUUUCAUCCCAAGCACAACAAACUGUUAAACAGCCAAGCGGAUAAGAAACCUGGUAUUCACAUAAUUUGUUUGCACAUGUGCUUGUUCACAAUUACACUUUCCUGCCUACACGUGAUCAACAUGGCUGUGACUUGAAAGCAGAUAGAAAAGAAGAAAGACUGAACAACCAUGCAGCACAAUUGGCAUGAGACAUUACUUUGACACAGUUUGAUAAGAAAAAAGCUAAAUGGUUGCCUCGACAUCAUUAACAUGAUCACUUCAUUUUCAGUGCAUACAUCUGCCAUGUAUGAUGUAAGAUGGUUCACCAGGCAAUAACUUAUUUGUUGUUUUAAAUCCAUAUAUAAACCAUAACCAACAAGCCGCAUUCUCUUAUUCUAAAUUAGUGUGAUCAAUUUCUUUGGCUUUCUUCCUUUUGACACUACUCCAACUUUAUUAUCUUUAUUGAGGAACAGGUCUAUCUUUUGGUAAAUCCAAACUUCUACACACUUCAUCCUGCAAAUCUCAGACUUUUCUAGAUCCAACAAAGGUUUCAAGACCUAUCAAAAACCUCUCUUUCUAAAGACAACCAAUCUUUUACAAGAUGCACUAAGUUUUACAUCUAAGGUUUAUCAUGUUAGAACAUUCACCUUAGCAAUCUUGUCUCAAAAUCCCAUAAUGUGUUCAAUUUAUUGCCACCAGUUUGAAGCUUGCCAUAAUGUUGACAUUAUUGCUUGUCUUAGAUUACAAGUAUCACAUUAUAUCACCAGGCAAUGUUGAUCAAGAUUGAGAUGACAAGAGAACGAUACAAGAAUAGCAGAAAACCUUUCACCAGAAGCAUUAAAUAACAAUAAAAAACCAUCAACUAGAUUUCCAAACCGAAGGCAUAAUAAAGAAGUAGGAGGGAUAUAAAGAGUAUAUUGAAGGCAUAUAUGAAGGAUGAUGCACAGAUCGGUCCACUCAUGCUCAUCAAUUACCACCUACAAACAAUAAGCAUCAAUGUGUAUAGUAAAUCUUACUAUAUCACGUCUUCUGGUUACUUCCGAUGUUUGAGGGUCAGCUUUUUUAUCUUUCUCCACUAUUACAGCAGGAGAUGUCUUCUUCAAGGAGUUAUCCAAAGUUUUGGUUUUCCUUUCACCAAGCUUCAACAUAUCAGAAGAUGCCUUAUCUAUGGAUUUUGUUAGGUCAUCAGUCAAUCUCAUUUUCUUCGAAGGUUUAUCUUCUGAAUUUGGAUCUACAACACUGGCUUCAAACUUUGGCUUCUGAUCUUUAUGAUCAAUUCCUUCAAAUAUUGCUCCAGGCUUUGGCUUCUGAUCUGGUCUUCUCUUUGCACCCACUGUUUGAAGGUCAGCUUUUAUAACUUUGUCCUCCGGAGCAGCAGGAGAUCCCUUCUUCAAGGAUUCAUCCAAAGGUUUGGCUUUCUUCUCGCUAAGCUUUGCCUUUACAGAGGGCAACUCAUCCAAAGGUUUUGCUGGGUCAUCAACCAACAUCAUUUUCCUCAAAAGCUUAUCUUCCGACUUCUGAUCUCUGCCAGAAUUUGCUUCGAACUUUGGCUUCUGAUCCUCUUUCCAGUUUAAAAGAUACUUAACUGAAAUAUGUUCAAACAUAGGAAGACCAGAAGAACAUGAAGUUCCAAGUUCAAAUUACAAGAACAAACAGGAAACGACAGUGAGAUACUUGCCUUCAACAUCAGCUAUCUUAUCUGCUAUCUUUUCAGAUAUUUCAUAGCUUCCAACAUCAAAUGUGCGAUAAAAGAUGUAAUCAGCCAUAGUCAAUUCUUCGCUGGAAGGUUGUCGAUUCCUCUCAUCCUUUGAAGUGCAGAUUACAUAGCAUUUGCCAGCUAUAGCUUCCUAUUUUUAAAAUUUAUAAAAUCUCAAGAUAAUUUGGCCAGAUAAUUACUUUCUCGAGAGCAUUAAAAGAAAUAGCAAGAACAAGUAUAGAACAAAAAGAUACCAUAGAUCCAAGCAAAUAAGGUACAAUAACAUGCUCCCAUCCAAUAAAACACAAAAAGUGCACCAAGCAAUCAGAUAUAAGAAUGAUUUUGGCCGAAAGAACCUUUCUAACAUUAAGGGAAGAUAGUUAGAAUAACAGGUCAAAUUCAAAAGAUUGCAGCACAGGACAUACAAAGGAGCAACCUCAGAUGUAGCACUUGGGAAUAUCUCUUGCUGAAUCAAUGUCAGACUUACAGUGGCCAUGCAUAUUCCUUGUGGAUAGGUUACUCGAUCCUAGAGCAACCCAAUAGAGAUGCAAACAGUGGGUAAUCAUAAUUCUUUAUAUCUAUUGAUUUAAAUGGUUUUAUAUAAAGCUAGGUGCUAAUUUUAGGGUAAACUAAUCCACCCAUACUGAACAUUAGGAGAUUGUAAGAUACAUGGAAAAAAUUCGUUAUCAAUUCACAGAAUAAGUAAAUUUUCUAGGAUUAGAUCUUGUCUUAUGAUAUAUCCAAGGUGGUGGACUCCUCCCCUACUUCAUUCCCACCACAAAAUUUCCAUCCAUUAUUUAUCCUUCUUUUUCUGUCCUGACUCCUAUGCUGCAUCAGCAUUACAUUAUUGUAUAGCAUAAUGCAUCUCAAAAUGUCCACUAUAUAACAAUAAAAUAUGUAUAAAUAAAUUUAUUGCUUAAAAAAGCUCAAAACUUUCUCUAUGCAUAUUGUCAUAAGAGCUACUUGGAUGUUUUUUCAAUGCUAUGAUGUUGUUAAGGGGCUUUUUGGAAAUUUGGAGUUGCGCUACAACUCAAGUUGUAUUGCAGCUUAAGUUGUAGUAACUAACUUACAAGGAAGCUCACUUCUUGUGUUUCAAGGAGAGUUUGGGGGAAAAAGCAACAUCUUUAACAAACAUUCCAUUGAACAUAUUGCGAGCAAAUGCUAGGUCAGACGCUCGAUAUACAUAGAGAGGAGGGUGUUCAUGAAGAGGUCAAAGAUGAAAACCCAAUGGCAAGGGCCUAGGCAUGGACUUGGGCACCCAUAGAGGGGGAGUUGGUGGCAAUGCAGGACUUGAGGAGGGCAGAGAAGGUGAAAGAGAGGGACCAAAUAGGAAGUCAGAGGCAGUGCAUAGCUGCAUAGAGAUGGAGGUGGCCGAUGAUGGCAAUGGAGGAGGCAAAGUGGAGGAGGUCAGAGGCAGAGAAGGUGAAAGAGAGGACAAAAUAGGAGGUCAAAGGCAGUGCAUGGCUGCAUAGAGAUGGAGGUGGCCGAUGAUGGCAAUGGAGGAGGUAGAGUGGAGGAGGGUGACACUGUGGAUAAGGAUAGCCUAGAAGAAUGGCAUCGGGUAGGAGACCUAGGCAAAGACGAGGAGUGGGUAUGGGAGUGUAAAGAUGAAGAAGCUGUUGCAGUGAAGUCCAAGGCAAAGAGGCUGUUGUGGGCCCCUUCGAGGUGGUGGAGGCUAGCGAUGGCAUUGACAGGUAGGAGGGACUUAAGACCAAGUAGGGAAAAAGAAGGGAAAGGAAAAGAGAAGAUUCCUUUUCAAUUAAAAUACCUGUUCGAGUGGCUGCAACUCAUUCUGUAGGCAACUUGAUGGAAAGUUGACCUACCACAAAAUAACCCUGAGUUGCAGCCUAACAAGCAACUCAACUCCUUGUGCAAUUUGAGUUGCAAGUAUCAAGCUGGCUUCUAGCCCCCUAAGUAUAGAUCAUGUGGCUGAUCAUUGUUUCUAAUAAUGGUUAUUAAUUUGCAUACUCAAAAACAAUUCUAAAAUUGAUGCUAAUAAAAUUUAAGCACAUCUUAUGAAAUUUUAAAGCAUGAAAAUUCCACUUUAGAACUAUCUAAAACAAUGUAAUACUUAGGAGGAAGACAAAAAAAAAUUGAACGACAAAAAUAGUACAAAAGUAUAGUAAGUCACAAUAUGUAAGUUAUUUUUUAGGACUUUGCUUCUAAGUUAUAAAUUUUUCUUAGGUUGUGUAAGGUUCGCUUACAUGCGUUGAUUCUAUUGUUUAUUGGCCUUCACAUGCACAUACAUCAUCCUCAUUAAAGAAUCCAAUCUUGAGUUAAUACGGCCAGCAUGCAACAAAGUCAAUGUUUUUUUAGACAUGUUAACAUUUUGAUUGUUAUUGGUCUUUUCUUUUGAAAAUGCUGAAGUGUUUUUGAUAUGUAGUUCUGGAAUUUUGUGAAACUGCAGAGGGUAGAUACUUGGUGGAGUUCCGAGGAGGACAGAGACGAUCAGCAGCACAUUCACACCUCCGUCCCAAUGAAGUAGCAGCAUAGCGCAAAGCAGUGAGCUCCAACCCUCCGCAACUGAAUGGAGUGAAAAACUUCACCAAAAAUGCAAGCAGGCAUGGCUGCUCCUUGACUUGACAAGAACCUCAUUUCGGAGACGAGGACCAAACUCUUGUGAAUCAAACAUACCUCUUUCCUUCAAAGCGUUAGUGAGAAGCCGAACUGGAAUUCUCUUCUCAUACCUUUGUUUUUGUUAACUAUGCCGCUGUUUCAAAUGAAGUUCGUUCAACCGAUCGAUUGAUCAGACAGGAGAAUUCCCUGCUUUCGACUUUUCUUUUGUUAAUCCCUCUUCCUCUGAUUUUUUUUUUUUUGCUGCUGCUGGUUUUACUUGGACUAACAACCUUUGUACUUUUCUUUCGGCUUUCAGACUAUAUGUAUGACUUCGCUUUCCCUUCUUUUCCUACUAACAGCUCCCUCAUGCAUUCGCAUGAACCACUAGAAAAUGGUGAGAUCAUGAGAUUUUUAGCGAAAGAACCAACAACGAGCCUAUCCUUAAGGAGGAGUAGCUUUCAUUGAAAUAGGGCUUCUUUGAAGAUUGAGAAAAAAUAGGACAAUUAUGCCACUAUGAAGAAGUUUGGAGCAAACGUACCUAGGUCAGAUUGCUCCUCUCCCCUUUUAUAUAUAGCACAUGCAGUAAUUAUUAAACACUCGGAUCAGGACCUGCCUGAAUGGGUGGAAGCUGGCAGCAGGGCUUGCUUAACUAGAUACAUGGAAUUGGGAUCUCUCUCGCAUGCAAAUCUUUCUAUUGAGAAACCCUAGAAACUUGGAUGUUCAUUGGUAGGAGCGGCAGGAUCAGGAUGUAAAUUGCAAAACAUGAUCAUAUAUAUGAAAGGACUUAGUUUUCACUAUUAUUUAGUGAUUUGUCCAAUGGCUAAUUUCCAUCAUACGUUCCACUCAUUGGCAAGAUAAUGAAAUUAUCCAGUAUUAUUGGUGUUUUUGAUCAUCUAAGCCACCCUAACACAGACACCAUGCAUACCACUUGAUAUUUUUAGUGAUUUGUCUAAUGGCUAGUAUUCGUGAUACAUUCCAUCGUGGGUAACACUAUGAAAUUAGCCAUUAUUAUUGGUGUUCUUCAUAAUCAAACCACCCCAACGUGCAAACUAUGCAUACCACUUGCAAAAAAUAUCUUCAAUUCAAGGCAUAAAGCAUGUAUAUUACUUCCAUAUUGCUUAGGAUUGAGUAUUGGAUGCAUGUAUCCUACUAUGUUGACCUUUUGGCUCGAAUUUACACGGAUAAUCCAUGGUCAUGUGAGUAAAUCCUCCAUAGGAAUCUCAAGUUGAGUAUUUUUGCUCUGUAUUAUACUCUCAUCCUCUUAAGCAAAUUGUUUUGAGAGAAAGGGAGGGAGAUCGACCAACACUGUAAUUGCCCAAGGCCCGAAGCUUAUAUGCUCAGGGAUGCACCGCCCAAUAAUCGACCCAAAACCCCCAAACAAUUAGGUAAAGCCCCAAACUACUUUAGCAAGUCAUUGUUGCCGCAUCAAUGUCUUGUGAAAUUGAGUUUAUAUGGAUGAAGCAUCCGGGGAUUAAGUGUAGGAUCUUACCUUCAAGUUUAAUUUGAUGACCAAAAUAACAAUUGGUCAAAGAAUUUUACUCUACCACAAGUGGUUUCCAUAAUAACCUAAUUAGGGAUGGCCCAUCUCUCUUUUGUUAGGUCUUUCUCUACCUCUAACCUCUUUUUCUAUAUGGCUAUGUAUCACCAGUUCUUCUCAUAACAACUCCAACUCCUCAAAACCCUUAUUUUAUUGCCAUGUUGUGCCUCUUCAUGUGAUAUGCCUCAUGUAAUAAUCCCAUGCCCGCUACUCAAGGCUUUUUUUUUUAAAGCCUCAUCUCGAGAUAGGCAAAACAUGCUAAGGAAUGUGGAAAUACGCAUGCAAGGAAUGUAGAAAAAACAUUGUGAAACAACAUGCUAAGGAAUGUGGAAAUACACAUGCAAGCGACUAGCUCAACAAAAAAUAUCAAGCAACACAAUAAGCGGCGGUGGCAAAGUAACAUUCAUCAAAAACAAAAAAUUGAUUAUCAAAUAUAACAUGCUCGCAUUUUUUAAAUCUCUAUCCAAAACGAAAAAAGUUACUUUCAUCGAAUAAGAAUGUUGGAACUAUAUUACAUCAAAAUACAAAUUUUUUUGGUUCACUCUCCUUGUGUCAAAUAUUUCCCAUUUUGAAUGUAGUCUAUGAUGUUAAUAUUUAUAAUUUUGAUCUUACAGAGUUGCAAAAUAAUUAUGAAAGGGUACGAAGUGAAACAAAGUCCAACGUAUCGAGACAAAAGACAUGAAUCAAAUUUACCAGUGCAUUGAUAUUGGAAAGACCAACACCUUCACCGGAAGCCAAAAAGAUCUCCUUCUCCGAUGGUGCAUGAUCUCCCAAAUAAUUUCGAAUUUCAUUUGGGCGGAAAAACCAUAAAAUCUUUACUCUCUUAUGGCCCGAUUGUUCCCAUAUCUUCAAUAUCUUUCCGAUAUAAGGCUCGGGCUCACCGUGCUUAAAAAGGUAAACACAAUCAUAUAAUGAGUAGUUCACAUUAUCAAAUGUGAAUGACUCAUAGAAUUGAUAAUCCCUUUUUGUAGCACCAAUUCCUCUUUUUUUACCCCAAUGAAAUUGAAUAUCAUCAUUACUUUGAUCCCCCGAAUGAGCCAUUGCCUGAAUAGCUUCAGAACAAAGCAAUUAUGGCUCAAAUUGGUCGUCUUUAUGAGCCUAAAAUAAAAAGAAAGAUAAAAAUGUCAAUGACAAACAACAAUUAGAAAGGAUGAAGAUAUUAAAUGGAAAAGUAGAUUUAUUAGUUCAAGGGAAGUUGAGAAAAAAAAUGAGUGGUACAAUGAGGCAUUGUAUAAAUUUUUUUUGAAAGUCUUCGAAGAAAGCCUAGAAGACCUUGAAAAGGCCUAGCAAGCUGAAAAAUGUUUGUUCAAUGAUCAAAAGAAAUCAAUAACAUGUCAUCCUAUUGAGAUAACUAAAUUUUUAGGAUAUGAAAUAGUAAAUAAGCAAUAAUGAAAUAUAAGUUAAACAAAAUGAUCCCACUUAACUCUUCCAACAACAUCUUAUAAGAGGAUACAUCACAUCUAUCUUGUAUGUAUAUAUAUGCUUGUAACUCCAAAAAUAGAAAUCGAGUCAAUCAUACCUAAAACUUCAUAUUCACCCAGUUUGACUUACAAUGCGACUCUUGAGUGCACUUGAAGACAUUUCCAUUUGAAUGGAAAUAUAUGCCAUGACAAAUUAAAUAGAGUAAUUGAGUAGGGUAUAUGGAAGCAUCAAUAAUUCCCAAAAGAUUGACGAUCUUACAAGACACAUAAGAACACAGCUUAUUGAAGCCUCCAAUAUGCAAUAAAAACCCAGUAGCUUUUAACUGCAUGCCCGCUAGAAAUAAGCUAUGUUCAAAUAGCAAAUAAAACAAUGUUCCUCAUAUCACCCCAAAUCACUCGAUUCAGGGCAUACUAAACCAAACUGACAGAGAACCAGAAUGGUUCGCCCAAUCGGCCUAGUAAAUGGGCCGAAACCAUUAAAUAUUGCCCACAUAAUAUUUAUUUCACUCGAUCCGCUUGCUAUCCCCCCCCGACCUCCCACAUGCAUUUCGAACCCUCCCCAUGUAGAUCCCCCUCCUCCGGCCCUUUCACCUCCGUCGCUUGAUCCACUCAUGAUCAAGGAUUUUGGUCCCUACGGGAUAUCCCGCAGGACACUGAGAUAAGAUACCAUCCUAUAUGUCGAGACAAGACCGUCCCACCAACAUCCCAAUCGGGAUGUCUUGGGACAUCCUUUGUCCCAAGUGUCAGGACGGGACAGGAUGGCGGCCCCAUUCCAUGAAAAAAUCGGAACAACCCCACCCCACGAGAUUUAAAAUCUUGCUCGCAAUCACCCCUUCUGCACCCUUGCGUCCUUCGAAGCCUUCGAACCCCCUAAUCACGGAUGCUUCCCUCCUCUGGCCUCUCUAUCUCUCUCUCUUGCUCCCUAUCCUUCCCCAACUAUGGCCGUCGGACUUGGGAGGCUUAUCUACGGAUCAAUCCAUGCAAGUGAGUCCCCCGUUCUCUCUCUCCCCCCUCCCUCUCCUUCUUCCUCCCCAUCUUCCUUUGUCGGUACUCCUCAAAACUGCAUAGCACAGAUCCGUACCAUGCCGAAAUGAUCGCCAACCGAUACCCCUCUCCCCCCAGUACCAGUUCAGCAAACCUUCAAAUGAAACAACAUUACCCCCUCUUGAAGAUGCAAAUAAGAUCUUCCAAGUUAAGCUUUAAUCUUGCAAAUAUAUAUAUAUAUUAAAACGAAAGCAUUAACCUUCAUCCACCACGUGUGCAUGUUUUUCGAAGGCCCUAUCUGCCACGUGUCCACUAUUUUUUUCUUUUGCAUCCCGCCUCUCAUCAGAAAGAUAGGUUUGCUGAUAAACUGCGAUGAUUGAGAGCAACAGGUAGAGAAGAAAGGCAGAGAAGGUACCAUGACUUCGCGAAUGAUCGUGGGAGAGACGCCAUCGCCCUCCUUGGAUUGCUUAAACUCCCAGCAGAAGAUUAAGGAUGACAUCCGCCGCCUCCGUCGCUACCGCUCCACCCUCAAGAUCGUCGAGGAUGCAGUCACCACCAACCCCUCCUCUACCGCCGACCCACCCCCCCUCCCCUGCCAAUUGCAGGUCCCACUGUACCUCCUCCCCCUCCUCCCCGUCUAUUCCGGGCAAAGCACCCUCCUCGCCCUCCAAGUACUCCCGCACGGAGAAUGAGUGGAUCUGGAGCUUUUCAGCGUUAAAAUGAGCUAGAAGGGAGGAACACAGCAUUGCUCAUCGUCAACUGUCGGAUCCCGACCAGAUCUCAAUUGGAGGGCUGAGAUCGAAGGAAAAGAAAAGAGAGAGGAAGAGAAAGGGAGGACAAAGAUAAAGAGAGAAGAGAGCAGCGAAGGGCUUCACUCGAGGCAGAGUGCAGAAAUUAUUUUUUCUUUUUUUAACUCGAGGAAGAGGAGAAGGGAGAUGGGCAAGAUGGGCUGGCACGGCGAGCUCGCUGAAUGGUGGUUCUCACCGCCCAUAGAAUAGGUGAGGAAGGACAAGUGGGGAUUAGAAGGCGUAUUAAUUAGCAUAAGGCUAUAAAAAAUCCACAGUUUUGGAUUCUUAAUGAUACCUUCUUAUCGAAGGUUCUCUGGAAGCUGCGGUGGGCCCCACAAACUGGGGUGGGUCUAGGGGAGUAAAGAGACUAGUGUGGACGAGAAUAGGAUUCCCUUGCUGCUUGGCUUUGGCUUACUAUUUUGUUAACCAUGGUUAAGCAAUGAGGAUAAGACUUGAGGUGGCUAGAGUGAGUGGAACAGGUUUGUUUUGGUUUCUUCUAUUUAGGUUGAGUACUUCUCCAAUGCAAUUAGUUUCUGAUUUAACAAGAUGUAGAUCUCAUCCAAAUUAGGGUUCAAGACUAAGUCAAUGUAUCUCGUAUUAUUUUGCUAACUUGCUAGAUCAUUAAAGAAUUCUAUAUCAGUGUGUUCAAAUACAAACAGGUCUUUAAGGCCCUGCCAAGUCUUUCACUAUCAUUCCUUUUAACCUUUUCUUUUGACCUUCCUGAGAAGAUAAACAAGAAGGUAUUUUGUUUGCCGCUCUGCUGGGGUUGGCUGUUAACUUUCGUUGUGGUUUACUUAGGUUAAAAUCUAGAUUUGGUCGUUGCAGGAAACCCUCUGCAUUCUUUCCAUUCACGUAAAUGUCCUUUUCUAUGGAAUCGUGAUUUUUGUCAUUACAGCCAACCUUAGUUCUGGUUUACUUAGGUUAAAAUCUAGAUUCAGCCGCUACAGGAAAGCCCUCUGCAUUCUUUCUAUUCACGUAAAUGUCCUUUCCUAUGGAAUCGUGAUUUUUGUCAUUCUAGAAUCGUGAUCUUCUAUUGGUUUAACAUUGGCUACAUUCUUGAGCAUAUUUAUGCGUGCCCCAAUGUCAAGAUUAAGCUCUCAAAACCUCAGGGGAGUUAAGAAACCCCUCUAAUGUCUCUCAAUUGUUCUCCUUUCCCACAGAUCUCUGAAAAAGAUAAUGAAAUGAAAAAAAAAGAAGUGACAAAAAAAAAAGUUGAUCAUCCCACGCAUUGAAUAGGAUUAUAAGCUAGUAUAAUAAAAUGUCAAAGGACAAACACGAGUAGCCUACACUCAACACAAGCUUAGCUCAAAAACAAGCAUAACUACCUCAUCUUGGCUUGAGCCUCAACUUAAGCUAGUAAGUGUAAGUCAAGCUUAUGUAAUUAAUUUCAAGCUAAACUCCAACUUGCUUUGGUUAAGCUUGAAAUGAGCAUAAAUUGAUGCUUUUGAUUGAGACUGAUGUCACAAUACAAUGCCUAGGUUUAUGUUCACCCCUUCGACGGCUUGGGACUUAGAAAAGGAGAACAAAGUGGGAAAGACAAAUUUAUCUAAGAUGGAAUGAUAUAGUUUAGAAUCGAGAAUGUAUGUCAAAAGUUGAUUGCUUUGAACUCGGAAUAAGAAUAGGCAUUAGAAAACAAUGUAUGACUUUGGGAGGUGUGAUUGCCCCUUUUCUUGAACCUUUAAGAUAAUAAGGUUGUAUUUGGUGCAUUUUCAGACAAUCUUAAUCUGAAUUAUCUAAUAAUCUGGAUUACUGUAAUCUACAUAGAUUGCCAGUAAUGUUGAUUACUAUGUUUGGUACACACAAAUGAUGUUGCAGUAAAAUUACUGAGAAUCUUGAUUGACAUGUUUGGUAUGACAAUCAAAUUACUAGUAAUGUAGCAUCAAAUUCCUAAAAUACACUUAAAUCAAAUUAUUCAUUUAGCAUUUUAAAUUAUUUAUUUAACUUUUUUAAUGAUGAAAUUUAUUUUCAUACUUAUUAUUAUUUUUAUUACUUUUAUUUUUAUUUUUUUAUUUUCUCCAUUCCUUCUCCUUCCCCCGCACACCACACCUCGACACCCCCCCCCCCCGCGGCACCCCGCCCGUCGCGCCUCCGACAUCACCCCCCCAAUCGUCCAUGCCUCCUCCGACCCUCCCGCACCACCCCCUGUCUCCACCCUAUGUCAAACAGCCGCUACCGAUGGUGGCGGUGUCGAUGGCGACAAAGAAUGGGGCGACGGAUGAGAUCACUCCGCCCAAGAUUUUUCAUACCGUGCCGAAUCGGCCGGUACACCCCGUAUCGUAUCGGACCGACGGAGAACCGGCACAAUUCGAUCGGUAAAUUUGAGACACGGGCGGUACGGAAGAAAAAAAAAGAAAAAGUGAGAAAGAGAGAGGAGAGAGAGGGAGGUGGGAACCGCCGGAGGCUGACGGUGGCCGGUUGCGGCCGUCGGGGGCUUCCGAGCCCCGUAUCGCCCGAUAGGGCUUUCAAGAGAGAGAAAGAGAGAGAGAGCUCGAAAGGGAGCGAGGGACCUACCGGACGGAUGGCGCCUCUGUCGCGAAGGCCCCGAUGGCCGACGAGCCGACGCCGACAGCCUGAGGGCGGUCGAGCGGACGAAGCCCCUCCACAGCUCCGCCCUCUUCUUUUUUAAAACAGACGACCAUCUGUUUCGCUUUUUUUUUUAAACUUAUGAGGCAGCAACCUAGUUGCCAAUUUAAGAGAUUUUUUAAAAAAAAUACAAAAAUCAUGAAGCCGGCAAACUAUUUGUCGGCUUCACUUAAAACUAGAUUUUUUUAAAAAAUUUGCGUAACAGGGGCGACGCCCUUGUUUCACGCUUGCGGCGCCGCGCGCGUCGACUGCACCCUCCGACGACCACGGCGGCCAACCGGAGGCCGUNNNNNNNNNNNNNNNNNNNNCUCUCUCUUCUUCUUUCGAUUUGGAUCCGCUUGCCUUCGUUGGUUCGGUACGGUACGAAAUCAUACCGAACCGUACUGCCGGCCGAUCGAUACGGCCAGCAGUACCGGUUCAGCAUACCUUGGCUCCAUCCCUUCCCCCCCUCUUCAAAUCCGGGUCCGCCCCCGAACUCCCACUGUGAUAGAUCUUCAAAUCCCUACUCAGAAGCCUCCUCAGCAACAGAAUCCAGCUCGCCGACGACUUCAUCCCCUGUCCCUCCGACGAUCCCAACUCGAACCCUAACCCCAACUCCUCCGACACCCUAAACCCCUCGCCCCUCCUCGCCGGCACCUCGAUCCUCAGUUAUGGACCUCCCGAAUUAGCUGAAGAAGACUUGAUCCCCUCCUCCCCGCCGCAUGACCUUCUCCCCCUCCUCGAACUUGGCCAGGCACGCCGCACACUCCAUGACCUCAUCCCCAUCCCCGUAGCCGAUGGCAAAGAACAGAAAGAUGGAAGAGGAGGAAGCGGCGGAGGAGGUUGAGGAGAAGGCCAUCGGGGAGGAGAAUGACAAAGGAGGGUGGUUUCGUCCAACUAUUUCAUUUCAGAUUACCAAAUAUUUGGUAAUCUAAAUAACCAUCCUUCUCUUAGGUAAUCCAGAUUACCUUCUGAGAGGCAAUCUGGAUUGCCAAGGCAAUCCAGAUUACAAUCCAAAGAAUGUACCAAACGCAGUAAUCCGAUGGGGCCUUUUUAAAUUGCCAGCAAUCUGGAUAGAUUGCCAACUACCAAACGCAACCUAAAAGCAAAGAGCUAAAAAGAUAAAGAGUUAGCAACAAAGAUUCUCUAAAGACUGCCAUCUCACCUUUUUGGAGAUUAGAAGAGAAAAGAAUGGGAAAAAUGAGAGGGAAUGAAAAUGACAUUGUCAAAAGGGCUAGGUACAAGCUUGAGGGAUUUCUUUGGGUCUUCUUCCCUUCCCUUCCCCUUCCAUUGACCAAGAAAAGCCAUUUGAUCUUGUAUCGAAGGGCUUAAGGGUUAGUGUGAAUGUUUAUUAAGUUAUCCAUUUGAUAUCCAAUAGAAUUUCAAGGUUUGUUGUACCAGUCGGUACCAAUGCAUACCAUACAUACCGUAUUGGUACCAAACCAAUAUAUAGUACAAUCGUACUAAGUGUUGUUACUCCGAAUCGACCCCCCUACUAGGCAUAGCAACAUAGUAAUAGUCUGAUACUAGUACAAGAUCUAGUAUCGAGAAUGCAAACCUUAUAAUGGAAAAGAAUUCUUGCUUGAGAGGAAAAUUUUGGCUCCUAAAAUUUCAAUAGAAUCAAUAUACUAGAAAUCACCUUUUAAAAGGAAUCAAAGAUCCUGAUCUUUGGAAUUCUUUGAUCUGCGACCGCCCUAUUUGUGCCCAUCUUUCUCAUCGGCACUACCCAUUCUCUCAAAGUUUAGUUGCAUUGGAAAUUAUCUCAAGAUAACCUCUCCAGCCAUUGGAAUAGGCCCUAAGUGUUUAGUGUAAAUAAAUUUGAAACUAGUAGAUCUAAGGUCUAACAAAGUGCAUGCUAUUAAAAAAACUUAAAAAGUAUUUGAAAGUAGAUGUAAAAUAAUUAAAAUAACUUUAGAACAAGCAAAUAAUAAAUACAUUAAUUAAACUCAAGCUACAAUACCCCAUGGGCAAUCCAAAAUCAAGAUGAGAAAGGUUAAAGGUUAACGACUAGCUGUAAAAACUUGUCAAAUAAUGCUAAGAUGGAUUCAAAUAUAAUAUGCAUGAGUAUUUGGGCAUUCCUUUCACUUCAAUUUAUGUUCAAGGAUGUACAUGGGAAAGACCUGAGAUCAAUUGAUGGAAGUUGUGAGAAAAAGAAGGAAUAGCCUGAAAUUACAAGAAAGAUAGCCCUAUAUAGGAAUUCUCAAUGAAUGAGGAUCCAUAAAACUAACCUGCAAUAGUUUGGAAAAGGCUUUACAUACAUGAUUAUGGUUAUUCAAUUAGCCAUACUAAGAUGAGCACAAGCAAGCUGAACCUAACUCAUACUCAAGCUCAUUUAUUUUUCAAGCUUAAAAACUUCGCUUAUUUCAGCUCAUUUACUAAUCAAACAAGCAAAUAAGGCUCACAAAAAGCUUGUCAAUUUGAUAGCCUUAUGUAGUGUUCCUUGUAUAAGGGUGAAAAUGGAUAGGAUAAUAUCCAUCCACAUCUAUUUUCAUAAGUAAAUCUAUCCAAAUACAUAAACAAAUUUGAGCAUCCACCCAAUAUCCAUAUUCAUCUCUAUAUUGUCAAAGAAAAAUGAAUAUAGAAAUGGAUAAACAACUAUCUAAUUCAUACCUAAAUAUGCGACUAUGAUUGUUGUUGGAAAGGGAACAGUUUCCCUCCAGAAUGCCCAGAUUGCAUCUAAAAAUUUUCUCUAAUGUUCUACUUGUUUAUGAAUCAAAUCCUUACCUGAAUCGCAGCGAAACCAGGGAUCAAAUUCCAAAUUAUCUGAUAUAAACCUUCGCGGAGGCCUGGAUAUGCAGACCCUCUACUUCGCAUGCACGUCAGACGCCGCAGGAAAGCAGGAUGAACUCCAAUCCAAUUGACUUCGCAACUCAAUUAAUCGAGGGAUGAGAUGUGAUAAUAUGACACCUCACACCAGCAGGUAGGAUGCUCAAGAAGGAUCCACGCCCAAGGAGAGGAGGCGGCAACAAAGGGAGAAAUGUAGAAGAUGAAGGACCUCUCUCUUCACACGCCUGUCCCUCUCUAUUUAUAGAUGAUUCUCAUGACCCAAUGAGAGGAUGACUCUUUAUUCAAAUCUGAUUUGAAUUGGUCCAAUACUCAUGAAAGAAGAACUCCUACAUGAGACAUAAUUGCCAUCACUUAUGACAUCCACUUUGCACCCACUCCCAUACCCACUUGGGACGCCCCAAAUAAGCACCAAACCAAUUUUUGAUCAUGCUUCAUGAGUGGGUAUUCCCAGUGCAAGUAGGAAUAUGCUAUCCCAUCCAAAACAAGUCUGAUUCGAAUCCGAUUCGAAGCCGGUUCGAAACAAUUUCGAAAGACUGUCAAUCCUAAACUCUUUAGGAUUUUUAUACCAAGUCUAACUUGGAUUUUGGACCUAUUUAAGUCUAAUUAAUUCAGAUCUAAUCUGAAAUUAAUUNNNNNNNNNNNNNNNNNNNNAACAUAGGUCAAUUUCUUCCUACUUUGUCUGAUUUGUGUGCGUGACUCCAUAGAUUCAAACACUAAGCCGGUAGCACAAGAAUCAAUUCAUGCACUAAUCGAGAUACCAUCUAGCAAUGAUUCCCAACAUCCAGAUAGGUCGAAUUAUCGCAAAGAAAUAUUCCAAAAUCCAUACUCAUGAUUACCGUAUAAUUCAUCCUUUUGACUCUGGAUGCUCUAGGAUGGUCUCAGAUUCACUGUCAACCGAGAUUGCUUCAUCCACAUUGUAUUUCAACCUUUCAAAUCCAUCUCAUGGAUUACCCUGACCAAAACUUUACUAAAUUAAAAUACAGCGAUACAUCAACUUCAAUAAUCCAGAGAAGUCAAUCCCAUCUUGAUCCACACACAGACUUCGCAAGUACUUGACUGUACCCAGUAGCCUUCCGUCACUACAUUAAAAAUCCAGGUAGUUCGGCACCAAAGCACAGUGAGUUGCUUGCAAGUCACUAUGGUGAUCUCAGGUCUGAAAGAUAUUUAUACCCAUUGUUUCGUGAGCAGCUCUUGACAGCAGAACGCUCAGCAGGUGAGUCACUUGUUCAGUGACGAUGUACCCUUACAUCUCAUCUGUAUGCCAUACCAGUAUCACCACACUCCUUGGUUAAGAGGACAACCAACCCAUAUGGCACACAACGACCUUCACUCAAUAAAUAUCAUCGUCCCGUAAUAACGUAUCAUUUGGUCGCGAACUUGUUUAAGAACUAUACGAUAAAUCUUCUCUUUAUCGUACACUAGCAUAGUUCUAGGAACUUCAUCACAGUACAAGAGUUCAAAGAAGAUGUCAUUUUGUGAUGAAAAAAUAUCAAAAUAACUAUUAUUCAAUAAUCAAUAAUUCAUAUACAAGGAUGAACUCAAUCGUCACAUGAUUGAUUUUAGGACACAAUUCUCAACAAUUGUAACCCUGUUUAAUCUUAUAUAGCAUUCAUGAACUUUUAAGAGAUGGAUGACCAUAUUAACAUGUUAUUAACUUAAUUUACCUUCUACUUAGUGAUAUCUUUGAUUUGAUGGUCAUAAAAAUUAACUAUCUAAUUCAUGGUCUGUCAUACCGUCCCAUACCACCUAGCACCAAGGUUGUUAAGGGCGCCAGCCACCCUCAAGGCGCUAGACCCUGUCUAGCGCUUGAGGCGCUAGGCGCUGAAAAAGCGAGCGCCUGAUUGAAGUCAGAUGCCAAUUUUUUAGAAAAAAUAAAAAAAUAUAUAGUCUAUUCUGAAACUAUAAGUCUUCAUUACAGCCUAUUGUUCGAAUGAUCUAAUCCAAAACUAAAAGUCAUCAUCAGAUUUUUUUUGUCUAAACACCAUAUCCAAAAGGCAAAAACUUUUUUGAGUUUUUUGUUUUCUCUGUUACUUACACAGGGCAGCCUACUGUUCUAUUCUAAAAGUCUAAAACUAAAAGUCUUCAUCAGAUUAUAUGCCUAAGUUGUCAUAAUGAUCAUCUCCCCCAUCAUCGGAUAGGUCAUUCUCUACGUUCUUCUCAAUCUCUUCUUCUGAACUAGAACCAAUCUCUUCAUGAUUUAAGUUUAGUGGCUCUAAAUGUGAAGUUGAAGCUGCUGCUGAUCUUGAUCUUGCUUGCAAUCUAAUAUUUUUUCUUCCUUGUCCAACACCUGCUGCCCUAGCUACCGCACCCCAUGUCAAGUCAUCAUCAUUACCAAACAUCAAAUCGCCCUGUUAAAUUGGAAAUUGAACAGCCAGGAAAACAAAACCAAUUUUAAUUGAGCGCCAAAGGCGAGCACCUUGCGCCUCGCUCCAGGCGAGCGCCUAGGCGGCAGAGGCACUCGCCUGGCUAAAGAAGCCUCGCCUGGAGGAGGCUAAGGCGCUUUCAGCCAAGGAUGCCUCGCCUGAGCACCUUAAUAACAUUGCCUAGCACGAGGCGUACGACACCGGUCUCAUACCAUGCCGACACUGAAUAUAAUGUCCCAUACCGUACUGACCACAUACAGACACUGUAAUAUGAUGAUAUCGGUACGGGGUCCAAUACUGAAAUAAUGAAUUUUGAUCUAAUUUAUAUUCAUACUUUCUGUACAUACUUUGAAUCUGUAUCCCUUUAAAACAAAUAUGGAUAUAAAUUUUUGCAUCUGAUUAGUAUCUGUACUCACGUUGAUAUUCACCAAAUGCAAAUAUGGAUAUAUGAUAUUAGAUCCACAUCUGAUCCAUUUUCAGCCCUAAUCUUGCAUGCCACAUACAUCUUAUGUCAAAUAAUCAUGUCAAUUAUACAAGCAAAUGUAGCAUAUCAGAAUCAUACAUUAGAAAUGGCACAUUACCCACAAAUCUGGCCACAUUCAAAACUUAUAAUGUCCAAUAAACUAUUUUGCACCCUCUCUUUUUUAUGUAUUUUAAUAGCACACAAAGGUAAAUGCUGCAGUAAUGUCCCAAUAGUAUCAUAUUUGUAAAUUGGUUUAUAUGUUCUAUUGUCUCUUCAAUAUGAACCAAGCUGCGAAAGCUAGGGCAUGUUUGGUUACUUGUAAGUGGGCAUCCAAAGUCACUUCAAGUAUGUAGGAAGUGACAUGUGGCUUUUGGUUUUCUUGAAGUAGCCUAAAGUCACUUCCCUCUCGAAGAAGAACUAGUCUCAAGAAUGCCCGAAGUGCCUUUGGUGCCAGGGCAUUGAAGGCACUCUGGCAAAGUGAGUUUUGUCCCAGGCAAUCAAAUACAUACCUAAAGAAACUACAUGAUGAGAGGCAUAAGUAAUCCAAGUCCUCCAAGUCAUCUAGGUGACAUCGUAAGAUCAUUAAGGCAAAUAGGGAGGACCUCCAAAUGCCUAAAUGAGUAAGUUCUCUUUGAAUUGCUUAGGCAAAGUCGAGGCCAGAUUGUUUGCAUCUUCAUGCUCAUAUCAGAACAAUAUUCACUCAAGAACUUCAAUCCUUAAUCCACGCAUGAUCAUACACCAAUGUGUUGGAUGAUGAAAGUAAUAUCAAUUAUCAAGCAUCCUAAGUAUUUACAUAUAGCAAUAGACAAUCUAAUCCCAUUAAGGCUGGCACAUGCCCAACAAAUAUGCAAGUCUCUAACCACAAUAUGACUACCUUCUUCAAAUUAAUUUCAAGUGGCAAGUGUUGCAUCCUUUUUAGUGUUGGCAUGCAAAGAUGUAUUAAUUUGGAGCUAUUGCAUAUGCGUCUAGGUCACUCAAGAAUCUGCAGAUCAACUAAUUUUGUAUCACCAACUAAGGCUAGCUUAAAGGAACUAAGCAAAGACAAUAAAACCUUCCUCAUUGACAUUUAUAUACACCAAAAUAGCACUAAACUAUUUUACAAACAUACAUAAAAGCACCUAAAGGUGCCUUCAAAGUUGUCAAAGAUGGCCUAAACAAGAAAUAUCAAGGUCCGUAUCUAGCUAACUUGACUCAUUUAAAUGCAAACAUGGAAGCUACUAAUUUAGAGGGCAUGAAGGCACAAACAAGGCCAUGUUCAUCAACAUGGCAUCGAGUACAUUGAGUAAAUAAAAUAGUAAAGUAGCAUUACUAAUACAUUAGCUUCCAUAUGAGCAAAAUUUGGAUUGUUGACUUAUAAGCUAGUUAUACAUCCCCUUGUAUUUACACCAUAAUUUUGAGGUCAUUUAUGUUAUUAAAGUGUAAACAUCAAGAUUUGCCAUAUUGGUUGGUGUCGUACCAUACCGAAAUGCAGUCUCGUACCAUACUGAUACUCGAUAUGCCUCACAGUCUCAUUCCAUACCGACACUCAAUACGCCACACCUUCUCAUACCAUCUUGAUGCUCGGUAUGUCUCGUCAUCUCGUACCAUACCGUAUACCGAUACUGUAAUAGGAUGGUACCAACAUGGCAUCCAAUACCGAGACGAUAAGCCUUGGUAAGCAUAAUUUCAAAACAUUAGCUUCUAUCAUAGGUUAUUUGAAACUAUUCAAUGCAUGUAAAAAGCAACGACCCACGAAUACCUUGAAAUAUUUGUGAACCUAGAUUUUGGUCUACCGAUUCACAACAAAGUUUGUUUAUUAAACACAUGUACACUAGUAUAAAGUACUUGAAUUGAUUGAAUGAAUUUGAAAUUGAUCGACAUAUCUCAACAUGCAAAUAGCAAUGUUCUAUCAAAUCAUGUAUCAUCUUGUCAGAAUGCCAGUGCUUACCAUCAAUUGGCAAACUAUGGAUGGCAUGAUCAUAAAAUUAAUUAAGUAAACCUAGCCCUCAUCCAAACUCGUAAUAUGACAAAUAACAUAACUGAAUAAAAUCCUUCACCCCAAAAAAGAAAAUAAAAUAACUUUCUUCACUUGAUCAAACGUAUAUAUCAUUAUGUAAUCAUUUUUCUCAUAGCAUUCUUGUCAUAGGUUUGAGCCAGUCAAAUGAGAGAACAUCACCAUUAGAUGCAACUCUAAUCUAACAUGCUAAUUAUGUCUGUCAAGAUGAUUUGAGAAAAAUAUCUAAAAAGAAAUUAAACUAGCAAUAUGCAAGGAUUGAAAUGCUUGGCAACCAACAAAUCGUGCAAAUGAUGUUCGACAGAUGUGAAAUACAUGUACGAUAAAUUUUUAAAAAAAAAGUGACAAAAAACAAGAAAUUCUAUUAGACAAUGUAGAUAUGAAAAUGGAAAUGAAUAGGCAAGUUAAAGAACAAAAAAGGGGUAGAACUAAGAUUAGUUCACUAAAGUUGAUGAGGAAGAAUGAACGACUUCACCUGUGAGGGAGCACAUGCCUAAGUUCUAAGAUCCUACUUCGACAAGUUUGAUACAUCUAGAGGGGCUCCAUGCAUACACUGAACCAUUUAAUUGGAAUGUAGGUUCAAGUGAAACAAAAAUAAAGAGUCAAAUGGUAAGAUGACAAUAACUAAGAUUGAGAAUCAAUAGUCAAAGAAUAAAAGAGUCAUGAUUCACGGUCAUUUUAACUUGAUUAAUUCCCCUCUCUGCCAAGCUAAUCCUUGGAGUAUGAAAGAAAGUAAGGUUUCGAGUUGUACUUAAUUGGAUGAUCCAAACAUUUGUGUGAAUACAUGCAAAUUAUUGCUUAAAACCCAACUAAAGCAACUAUUUUUGUUUGCUUUGCACAUUUUGGCUGAAAAUCAAUUAUUUCUAAUAAAAUGGGAAAAAAGUUUCCUACAAAACAUGCAAACCAAUCCUUAUAAAUCUAACAUAAAGGAACAUGACCCCCAAGCUUCUGCCAUAAUCGGACGUAGAGCACCAUGAAAUGUGUUUCCUUUGCAUUUUCGAUCUUGGAAAGCUAAAAUUUCAAUAGCUUCAGCUUACAAUAUACCUUCCAUAUCCCAAGAUUCCCAACAUUCUAAACAGUUUCACUCCAACCAAAAUACAAGGUUGCUUUGAUGAAUCAACCGGAGAAGCACCUAAACAAUGUAGGUCAUACAAUUCUACACCUAUAGCCAGUGCUAUAAACAAAAUACCCUUUUUUUGUCAUAUCUUGAACUAGAUCAAAAGUACUGCAUGUAAGAGUGCAUCACAUACUUCACUUAUUUAAAGCAUCCCUGACUUUAAAAAAAUCAUGUUUUAUUUCCUUGAAAAAACAAUGGAACGAUCAAAAGUAAUUACAAGCACUUUACUCUAAGGGCAGUAAAAUCACAUGAUUAAUGGAAAAUUUAAGUUCUGAUUCCAAAAAACACAUUUUUCUUUCCACUUAACACCAAGUAUCCCAUGAAUCUGCAAGAUGAACAUUUCCCCUAUUAGCCUACAAAUCCUUGACCAUAUACCAUGCUGAACAGAAUCGCAUGCCUUGUGCUGCAACAAGAAAACCAUGCAGAACUGUAUUUCCUCGACUCAAACACCUUUCUUAUUACCACAAAACAUAUGGAAGGAAAAAAGUCACACCAUUGACCUACAACUCUAAGCCCAACCAAUAAGACAUCAAAAGGCAGCAAGCAAAGAACAUGACUUAGAAAACAAACCAAGUACUAUCAAAAAAGAUCAAAUCAAGAAAAUCAAUAUAAAAUGACCAAGUGCUCCGGGAAACGCAUAAAACAAACCCUAAUACCACCUGGCAAGAACAUGAAAAUGAAAACAAAGGGAGAUGAUAAUUAUUUUCCAGCCCUAAAACCUGUCCACUGCAUCAAUAUACAGCAAAUAUGAAAUGAUUUAUGGGGGGAAAAAGCAGCUCAGAAGAACAGCGAUUCAAAUAUCCAUUGCAGCAAAUCCAAAAACAAGCCCCAAUGCCAGUAAGCAAAAACAAGAACAAGAAAGAUAUAAUAUUACGAAUUUUCUGCACCAGAAUACCACGAAUACCAAAUAUAGUUCAAGAAAAGAAAAGGGAAAGAAAGAAACCCUAGAAGCAACAAUGUGGAUUAUAUACCCUUCCGGAGGAUAGACGGAACCAUCUCCAGGAAAAUCACUCCAGGACGAACGGAAAGCACAAUGCAGCACAUGUUAUCUUCCUGAAAAAGAGAGAGAGCCAUGGAGAUAGAAAACAAAGGAACAUCAGGGUUUCUUUCCACGGAAAAAAGAUUGGGAAAAACCCAAUGUAGAGAUUAGGUGAAGGGAACAGAGGGUGGGAGAACUCACUACCACAAGAACAGAGAUGGAGAAAGAGAGACCGCGAGAGUUUGUGCACGGCUUCGAUUGAGCGGAAGGACGGAGAAAGACGACGAGAGAGAGGUGGACGAUGGGACCGGGGACAUCGGAACCCUCGUCGCCGUUCAAAAACUCGGAGUGUGGGAGCGGAAGAGUUGCAGGUGAAAAGUUGGGCCCACCUACCUUUUUAUAGAAGGCGAUAAAGGAGCGGGGCUCAAGUCAUCUACCUUUUUUGAUAUCUAUUUCAGCCGAUAUAACGGUCUGUAUCAGUGCCGGCAUCGUUUAAAAUCUCGGACGUUAUAACAGAGGCGGCGGCAGCGCUGCUCCGAACCGGGUUGUAUCUUUGGCGCGAAAGAAUGAGUCAUGUUUUUUGCGACGUUAAGAUCACAUUUUACACAGAUUUUAAAAUAUAAUAAAUUUUUUAAUCUAUAACACAGACCACGAAGCUGAUAUCAUAGUUUGAAAUAUAUGUAAAAAAAAAAUCAUUUGAUGAUUAAUACCACAAAAAAAGAUCAAUCGUUCAUUCUAAAGAUACAAUCCAAAUCCUAGGAGAUCUCAUCUACUUCAUAACUUCUCAAAUCUUGCAAGAAGCCAGCAAGAUGGCUGAUCGCAUUGCUGGGAGAGCAGUGGUGUCCACUCCACAAAGCUUCAUUUGGCAAGAUAAUGAAACUCUUCCUAGCUAUCUCUAUAAUUUAUGUCGAUGUUAUUGGAUGUUGUUAUUUAUAAGGCCUUGGCUCUCUUCCUUGGAAAAAAUGAAAAAAUAAAUGAAAUCCGAUGGAAAGAUGGAAGGAUGAUUUGAAAAUAAGGUAUAUUUGUAUCUUCCUUAGAUUUUAAAUUUUGAAGACUUCCCUUUUAAAUGUAUCCUAAAAAGGAAAAGAAAAUAAUAUAACACAGAGAUAGAUUAACUGAGAUUCUCUCACAUGCUAUAGAGCUUGGUGUCUGAUUGAUUGCAGUAAUAAAGCUAUAAUAAUAAAAAAAUAGUAAUGUUAUAUUAUUAGUAUUAUAAUAACCUAUUAUAAAUUUAUAAUAUAGAGGGAGGAUAUUAUUUGACAUUUUUGCUAUUCCUGGACGGUAUGUAUAAUAAUCUUUUAAACUUUUUCUAAACAGCUUGUAGCACCUAAAAACUUUAAAUAAUUGUUUGAAGAAUGAUAUACCAUACUAACAUUUAUUUUUGAAUAAUUACUUGAGAGCAUGCAAGAUGGUUGAAAAAACACUCAUUAUAAUUAUUAUAAAUUUAUAAUUAUCGGGAAUGGUAGUUGUUAUAUAGACAACGAAAUUUUUUGAUCUCAGGUAUUUACCGAUCUACCUCUUCGAUUAUCUAUAGAUAACUUUCUUAAUUUUGAUUAUUUACCAAAAUUAUUUUUUGGUCAUUUACCAACUACUGAUAAACUAAGGGUUUGGCUCCGAUGAAAUUUUUCAGACCAUUUUCUUUAUUCAUGCGGAUAUGGGACAAUAUGUUCGUCAUCUUGGAUAGAAUAAUUAUCCACGAUGGUUAUCCCAUCAUGGAUGUAGUAACUAUUUACAUUUUAGGCCUAUUAAUGCCAUAACUAUAUUUGAAAGAUUCAGCAUAAUAACCAACAAAUUCUUCUCUAUAUAAAGAGAAAAAAAAAAAUUUAGAUAACCAUCAAGAUGGUACGGAUCGUUAGUUCUACGUCCUCACGUUUGGAGUUCAAUUUUAUGAUAGUGGCUUAGCUUUAAUUAUUAUCGCAAUGCAUCCGAUAUUUUCUAAUGGAAUGAGGGUCCUCAUGAUUCCUUCUCACUCUUUUUUUUUAUAUCAAAAAAAAAUUUACAUAAAUUUUUUUUGUUCAAAAAUUAUUAUUAUUAUUAUUUUUUACUAUUUUCUGUGUUUCAUCUAAUUUAAAUGUUGAAGAGUUCUUCGUGAGACAACCUAAGGUACGUAAAUUUGUACGUUUCCGUGAUUUUUUUCGCCUCAUCUUUCAACCGACCUCCAGCUUGGCUGUCUCCCAAUCAAUGCCAUCUGAAGCUCAACAGCAACAGUAGUAUAACUGAUGUCCCGGUCACCCAAGACACACAUCUGCUCGCUCCUGACACUAACGGAAGUUUUCUAAACCAGCCACUUUCCCUCGCCCUGUCCACUUCCCCUCACCGGCUCCUACACAUCCUCUCAAUUAUGGAAUCUAAGAUGCGCACCAAUGUACAUAAACAUAUUCAAUAGUACAAUACAAAAUACCAAUGAUAUUUGUAAACAGUAUUAGAUAUACAAAUUAAGGUUUUUGUUAUAAAAUAUUCAACUGGUUCUCUUGAAUUAGUAAUUAAUUUGGAGAAACCAUGACAGCCAAGAUUUUAUCUCACUUCUUACAAAAUCCACUGAAAUCUUUUAGAAAUCUCAAAUAUGCUCGGUUGAUUUUCAAAUUUUAAAAAUCUUAGGAGAGGGACCUCUAAUUUGAUUUUUUUUUCCUUAUUUAAGAUUAGAAGGGCCUAAUGUUUACCUACCAUAUUCGCAAUCCACUCCUCGAGUGCCGAUACCAACCAGAAUCGGACCCUGCCCCCUUGCCUAAGUAGCAAGGCAAAAUAGCACAUGAUCUAUGCUACUAGUGAUUUAUAAUCGACAAGUGCGCAGUUUAUAGUGACCUAUGUUUUAAAGAAUUAUAAUAAGAUCGAUGCCAAAAAGAACAGAGAGAGAGAGUUAGCAGGCAUAAUCAACCACUGGCACCUUGGUAGAGAAACCAGAUUUAAUUUAAUGAGAAUCGGCAGAUCACUAGACCAACUGAAAUAUUUUAAUGAGAGCAUUUUACAACUACUAAUUACAGUGUGCAUAAUGCAUUAUUUCAUAAAAAAGAAAAAAGAAAAAAUAAGAGAAGAGAUUUCUAGGACAGGUCAUUUGCAAGGAAUUUAAAUUUAUUUUCACCAACAUUCAUAUAUAAUAGCACGAUGGAAAUUAUGACAAGUUGGGAAAGAUUGGGUGAGUACAGCCCUGUUCAAAAAUGCACCUGUUUUAGGAAACGGGCAACCGAACACUUCCUUGAUUGUCGCCUUUUUUCUUCACCAAGGAGACCCAAUCUCCAUUAUGUGCUGCAACCGAAUGCCAAAUAAAGCCAUAGCAGUUGUUUUGGUGAAAGGAUUAGAUCGUGGGUGAGUAGCAUGAGUCCUAAAUUUUCAAUGUACGAUCGUCAUGUCAUUUAUCUUUAUAGUAUGUCUUUAUAUCAUGCUAAAAAAUAAUUAUUCUUAUGAUAAAUAAGAGCUGUCGGUCUCCGAGAUGGAUGAUUUGAUGGACGAUUCAUGAAAAUGUGGGACUCAACAGUACAAAAGUUGCAGUAUAGAGAAUCUGAACUCCCAGCGAAAUCCAGGAGAAACAUGUGGGCUGCCUCAAAUUUAUACUUAAUACUUUUGGGUACAUGUUGGAAUUGAAGGUUGAGCCGGAUAUCCCAGUCAGGUUGCGGAGGUCCCUUCGAUCCUCGCCGAUGGAACAAAGGCUGCUUGAGAGGGUGGAACAAAGGCUGGCAUUGCAAGGGUUGUUACAGCCAUCUGGAGGCCCCGUGUCGUAUUAUGGGUAUACGAAGGAUAGGUUCUUAAAAAGGACACAUAUCAUGUGUCAUUCAUAAGCAUGGGUAUUUAAGUGAUUGUUUAAUAAAGUGUAUGAUGGCUGUUGAAUGACCUUGUCCUCGCAUCUAGUCAGAACAAAAUUUUUCAAAGUUCCAAUUGUUGUGUCGAUUCAAGGUGCUUUAUUUUGUAAAUGGUGACAUGAUCAAUUAAAGUCAUGAUUUUACCAUCUUUUUCUUUUCUGUGAUGAGUGUUGAGUUCAUUUUUUCAAUGUUCAGUCGUCCAUGCGUUGUUACAGCACUUCCUUUCCCAUGUGAAGACAAAAGCGUUGGUGAACCGAUGACAAAAAGAAUUAUGACCUUGAAACGGCGUCUAUUCAGCCCAUGGUAUCUGUGUUUCCCAUUACAAAGGGUCUCGCCUGGUGCAGUUGACGAUCAAGCACGUUACUUGAGCUUAUCAUUUUACAAUAACGAAAAUUAUGCAUUAACACCAACAUUUGCUGUGAUGUUCUCUCUCUCUCAUGAUUUUUAAUUAAAAGUUGAGUUUUCUGCUCAUCCCACCAACUACCCAAAAAAAGUUUUGCUUGUUCUAGACUCCAAUAUGGUACAAUUGAACAUCAUGUGGCCCAUUCCAAUAUAAAUCUGUCUUAGGCCAUUGAGUACAAGCAAAGAACUACAGGAUUACAGAUGAUAAGAACGCAUCAUGUUUAUUGAAGCCCAUGGCCAGGCCACUUUGCUCCACAAGUUAUUUGUCUUGUUAAUAUUUUCUACUGCAAAACAAACACAAAACUGUCAGAAGUUUUCUGGUUUCUUUUAGUGCUGUCUGCAGGCAAUACUUGUUUCCCUCUGUCAUAAUAUGUACAAGGUCGGCACCAUCAAAUUGACAUACCAACAUCAUCCCAUACGACCCUUUACCGGUUUUUUGUUCCACUUUCUUCCCAUGAACUUACGUCUUAGGAUUUCAGGAUACUGAAACAUUAUUUAGAUACCUUGAUGACCUGAUGGCAUGAUUUUUUGAGUCCGGGCUGGCUAGCAUUGACGCUUGUCUUUAAUGUUUAAAAUAAUAAAAUAUUCUAAUAUCCAUAUUAGGCUGCAUGUAAUGAAAAAAUUUAAUUAUAAUUGAAGAACGAUAGCUAAUUAUGAGUGAUUAGCAGGACAUCUGAUGAAGCCAAUAUAACAGUGUAUUGCCAACCAGAGGAGAGAAGUAAAAAGGCCUAUUGAACAACGAUUGGUCUAUUCUACAGGACGAGCAGCAUGUCAUCCUUGAGACUUAGAAUGCAUGAGCUCAAACUUGUGAGGAACCUUUGGACAUAACAUGAUUGAACCACUUGCAAGAACAAAGAGGAUCCACUGUUCGAUGACAACUGAGAAAUGAAUAUUUAACAUGUGCAACAGUGAUAACUGGAAGUUGCCAGGUUCUUGCUCAUCCUUUUCUAGAAUGUCAGAUUUCUUGUUCGUCUAAGAUUUUGGACUGCUUGCAUGACAGGUACUUCAGACCUAUAGCCAGCCGACUUGGUUAGUUAUGAUAACCACAUCAGCAGCAAUAUAAAAUUGUUAACUAGCUAUCCGUUACAUCAAUAAUCCAUUUAUGAUUCAAGAUAUGAUUUACCUGGUCAUAAGAGGAGUUUUAUAUGAUUUGAGUAGCUAUAGGUUGCAGUCAUAUCUUUUGACAACCAGUGCACUCUGAAUUACAAUAACCAAUCGAAUCAGAGGCUAUAUAAUAAUUCAUACGCUAUUAUACUCCUGCACCAUGUGUUCCACUCAAAAAUACAUCAUCAUAUAUUUUUGAGCAUAUAGUGUUAGGUUGUAGUCUUCUUCAAAUAUCUAUUCUAUUAUUAAAAGCAAACUUCUGAGCCGUGCAUGAAGAUCCUCUUUAGAGAUUUGUAUGCCUUCAUGGCACGCGGCAUGCUUUAGUAAUAUAGAUUUCCUAGAUUGUUAAGUUUUGUAUUUCAAGUUAAUCAGCUUCUUGAGGGAAGAUUUGAUGAUAUUAUGACAUAUAUUUUUUCAAUGUUCCAGUUAUUUGUCCCCCAAAUUAUCCUGCUUUUCUUUGAAAAAAAAUUUUGUGAACUUUUUUUUUUCCUGACGAGCCGAUGCAGAAUUCAGUUUUUCCAAUGAUUGAAUUCAACCCAUGAACAUACUGUACUUUUAUAUUAAGAACGACAAACAGUAUCAAACCAAUAACUCCCAAGAUUUCUCUCUGAAAGUACAUUCUCAAUUAUAUUCAUCUGUCACCCAUCUGAAAGAUUUUUCACCUUGUUGCAGAAAAGAGCAUUUCACCAAAUUAAGGAACAGAUAAAACUAGAUAGUAUUCUAUUGGUGGGAGUUAGUGAGUGGUGACGAGGGAGUGUGUGGAAACUGGAUGAGAGCCCCAACCAACCAUGCCACUAUUAAGAUAAAAAAAUCACCAAACCAAUGAAUAUAUAAUAUCCUAAGUCACACUCAGCAUGGAUCCUCUGUGGCGUGCGGAUUACACCACAGAGUACUAUCCAAUGUCCAUGAUGGUUAUCAAAGAAUGGACGGCUAUCAAAUAAAAUAAUUUUAUACAUAAUGUGUCAUUGUUGGUGGAGCACUGUAUAAUUUACUUUAUCAUAUAAUUUAUGUGCUAUAUUGGAGGAUAAUUUUAGUCGAUUUAUCGGAUAUCCAAUCCAAUUGAAAUCUGAUGAAGAUAUAAAUUUCAGAAAAAAUAUCCGAAGUGGAUUCGGAUAUAAAUAGUGAUAUGAUCAAACUCAAUCCAAUAUUAUUUUAAUAUAUAUUUUGUAAAAAAAUUAUAAUAAUUUUAUAUUAUUUAUAUAUAUCCAAUCCGAUCAACCUCUCUUAUCUAUCCGAUUUGAUCCCAUCCGUAUUUCUAUUUGAUGCGAUCCGAGAUGUAUCUAGAGUAGAUAUAAAUAUGAGAUUUUUAUUUAUAGAGUGGAUAUGAAUAGGAUAUGGGUAUGGACCGAUCCAAUCCGAUAAAUUGCUAUCUUUAGCGCUGCAUAAGGUCCUGAUUAAUAGCUAGAAAGCUUCUAAGCAUUAGAUAUAACUAGCUAGAAAGCUACUGCACAUGGGAUUGGGCUCUUUCCAGUUCAUUCUUCCACAGGACCUGGUUAGUCUGGCGUCACCCUUGCUGACUUAUUUUACCUAGCCUCCCCAAAAAACAACUGGAUUCACGUCAUCCAACCUCGACCCUCCUCUUUUUAAACAAGCAGAAGCCCCUCUUACGCACCAUUUCUUUCAGCCAACCACUCCUUCCUUCCAAGCAAGACAAGGAACAAAAGGUUCCUUUUCUUUCUAAAGAAGCUCAGCUCCGGGCUCUCAUAAUGGAAGGUCUCAUUCCAUUUGUCUAUAGGGCCAUAAUCCAAUACAGGAAUGGUGGGCAGAAUCCUAUAGGGAAUUCAUGGUUCGACGAGUCACCUUCAGCUUCCUACAUGAGGCUGCCCGGUGACUCUGGUAGGUUCCGGUCAUCGGAGACGCGGUUCUUCUCUUCGCCCGCCACCUCGGCACCUGCUUCCAACGGAACACGGUCGCCUCUCCGGCGGUCCACUUCACGCCGGCUUGGCUGAAGAUCACAAAGGUGAUCGAGGCCCAUGCCCUGUCUUUCUUUACGUAAGUGAAAGGUGAGGGUUACUAAUUGUCCGGGUCCAUGUUCUGCCAAAGGUGGUAAUGGUGAUUUGGUCUUAAACAAGUUGUGAAUCAGUAGAAAUAUAGGCUUCUUUUUUGGUCGUUUUGUUCUAAUAAGGGUAUGGCUCUGCUAAAGUAGCUCUGCCCCUUGCCCUGGCGUCUGUGGAUGGGUUGAAGGUGAAAGCGGAGGUGUGAGUUUGUGUAAUUGUGUGACGUAUUAGGAUUUUAGUUUUUCUCAUCUCUUAAUGGGGGUCUAUAAUUGUAUAUUGCGCAGAGAGUACUUUUCUUUAUAAGGUGUUUAUGAAUCUUAUAUAAUAUCUCCUCUUUCUUCUCUUUUUCCCCCUUCCUCGAGUACCUGUAACCUUAUCAGAAUUUAUGUGUUGUCCAAGAAUUUUGAUGGUGGUUGCUCAUCCUCAUUGCUGCUCUAGCCUAUGCACUCUUAGCUGCAGAAUUUUAAUGGGAUACGGUAUUCUCAUACUUACAUUAUUACAACACUAACAGAGAUGGUCAUAAAAGAUUGUAAAGAUGAUGGUCAAAAGCAUCAGGUUUUGAACGGGUCCUUUUUUUUUUCGGUCUAAAUUGUCUUGAUUCUGUGUAGGAAACACCAUCCAAAAUAUAAAGAUCCCAGAAAUUUAAGAACAUACAACCUCUACCUAGAACAGGAUCAAAGGGCCGAGUUGCUAGACAGUUACAUUAAUAAGAAACGGCUUGCACCAGUCUUCUUGUCAAUCCGGAUUAAGUUUGCCUCAUCUAUCGACGUUUGUUUUGCAUGGUAAGCAUGUAGUUCUAGUUUAGUUCCACUUUGCCUUGCACAUAGUCUUUGGAAAAGUACAGGUUCCAGUCUUUGGGAAAGUGCAAGUUUUGGUUGUUGAAGUACAGAAGACAUGAAUAUAAUCUGUAACAUGUUUACAUACCACCAAAAAAAAAAAAAACACAUGCAACAUGGUACCAAUGAACAUGCAACUGCAAACUUAUUCACUCCAUGCACUGCUGUUACAUAUCGGCACCCAUGAAAUCAAAAUAUUCUCUAUCAAACCAACACCGAUCAAUACAUUCAUUCGAAGCCUAUUGACCAUUGCCAUGAAAAAUAUUCGCUCUCUUCAUAUGUGAAAUGGUGAUACUAGAAUUUUAAGCCCUAAAAUACACAUGACACAUCCAAAGCAGAGGGGAAAACCCUGGCAUCUUUUAUUUCCACAUCAUUACAUGAUUUUUGACCAAAAAAAAAGAGCAUGAUGGCAUUGUUCAUGUAGAACUUAAAUCUUUUUUUUUUUUUAUUGAGGGAAAGGGAAGCAAGGAAUGCCACCCAACUUUAUUAGAUAGAAAUAAAAAAAAAUAAAAAUAAAAAGAGACAAUGAAGACAGCUGAAGUUCAAAGUAUUACAGCUCAGUCUCAAGAGAAAGAAAAUGCGAACGAUAAUAAAGUAGAAACGAAGACUAACAGAGACAGCUAAACUACCACUACCUCCACCAAUCAUCAAGGAACUUUGAAGAAGUCUUGGAGUGAUCUGUUUAAAUCUGACCCUCCCAACAACAUCCAGAAGAACAGCUUUCACUUUGGCCUUAACUCCAGCCAUCGCUCCUCUGUCUUUAAAAGGGAGUGGGUGAAGAAACCCAUGUAGUACUUAAUCAAAACCUAACCGCAGCAACUUAAAACGGAGUAGUCCAUCCAACAGAAUGUCCAGCUAAACAUAUGGUAAAUUUCUUUAGAGGAACAGGGCAAAAGAGUGAGAAACACAGAUUUCUGCACGUGAGCACCCUUCUAUUAACUUUUCUAUGCGACGACGUAGGUAUUAACCAUGAACAAGAAGCAAAUAACUAUGCCUAACCAACUACAACAGCCAACAGUCAAAAUGAUUGUCUGGACUUCGAAUAGCAGCAAGACCAUGUAACCAAAACUACAAUUCAAGUACUUGAAGCACAUACAGACUUUUAAAGAUUCUAAAGAUUUUGAAGCAAACUUCAGAAAGAAAAAGAAAAAUGAACAGAGCAAAAGAGCUUCUAUCUGGAAUCCAGAUGACUCCAAUUAUCCUGCAGAAAGCUUCAGUUGGAAUGGCCCUUGGAGUUGCCCACUCAUCGAACUCUCGGGAUAGGUUGUCAGCCAUAGCCACUUAGCUUGUUGAUAACUCUCUCAGCAUAAUUUGCUUCUGAAAAAGCUGAAGCAAUUUGACUCCAUCCAGUCUUGUGCAACAGCAAAACAAACAAUGUAGAGUCACGAACAAAAAUAUUGGAGGGCUCCAGAAGAUCGGGCAUGUCUUGAUAUUCUCAGAAGAUCUGCUACCUGCCAUCAGUUAAAUCAAACCAUGAAUUUUUGAAUGAACAUUUUGAUGCUAAAGCGGAAACAAGAAUUGAACAAGAACAAAUGACCUGAGAGAGAGAGAGAAUUGCAUGAAAAUUAACUCAACGAGCAAACGAGUCUGAUGCUAUCCUGCAUAGAAAUACUUCAUUUUCAUCAAAUAAACUUAUAUGCUACACAAGAAUACGUGGACCUAGAAUACAAACACAGAAAAACCACAAAGCAUAUUAAAAACAACAAAUCAGAACCAUCAGCAUGUCCACUUUCAUGUGCAAAUGGUUCUUCAUUGGUUUCAGGAUUAUGCAUCCUCUGUAAGCUAUGAUGACAUUAAUAAAUUCUUACACAAACAGAUGCAAUUUUUCCUCUUCACCUUGCUAACUUGUCGGCCCUACUGCCAUAGCCAAUUUUGGAGGAUACCAGCACUUCCAGUGUCAAAGGUGCAUGAUAUUUUCUACCAAAAAAAAAAGUGCAUGAUAUUUGUGGCAAAGAGAUGUGGCAGCUGACUGUUAGGGACGUGCUCAAAUGGUAAUAUAUUCUUUCCAAAUGAAAUAUGACUUAUUCCAUGGGAAAUCAUAUUCUACCCAAAAAUUGGAAAACAAAUCGGCAUACUUUUUUCUGGUCUUGAUUUGCAAUGUACCAGACAUUAUGUGGUACAAUUUUGUAUGCUCCCAUGAAGGUCUGGUCCCCCCCCCAAAAAAAAGAACAACAAGAGAUUUCUGCCUUAAGAAACCUGAUGAAUUACACCCUUGAUUAAUAAAACACUAGGUGAGGAGCAGGAUGUACACUUCAUAACCAGUGCAGUUAACAGAAUGCCUGAUUACAAUUUUCGGUAAGAAUCUGACAGCAAACUAUUCUUCAAUAUGAUGCACUUGUCAAUAAAAAACUUCAACACAGAAUUAAGUGUUAAAUUUACACAGCAAAAUGGUUCAUGCCAAACUGGGAAAGAAAAAAAAUCUUCUGUUGCUUACAAUUACCAGACACACCAAAAUACAAUUUAUAUUUCAUACUUGUCUUCGCUUCAAUAUUUCUCACUUAUAUUUGAUGCAUCUGUUUUCUGUGUACAAUUACUGAGGGUACAAAACUUUAUCUUAUAGAUUCACAUUGUUGAUAAGGAUGGCGAGCAUCAUGGUGGUUCAUUCAACAAGAUCCAUCCACCAUUCUUUUCUUAUUGUUCUGUUAAAAGGAUAUUCUCCAUCACCCCCAAAUUUGUCUUAGACCUACAAGGGAAAAUAGAUAAUUACUUUCACUGAAUUUCGCACAUCCAAUUUCUCUAAAACUUAAAGGGGAAAAAAACCAAGUUUAAUCUUUAAAACAAAACUUCUUAAAGGCUUAAAUAUCAACAAUAUGUGAGUUCUCCCACUUUUAACUUUUUCUUAGAGAAAGAAAGAAGAAUGAAAUGGCCCCAAAAUGACACCUAUUACUCAAACAUGCUCAAGAAAAAAGGAGAUGACUCAAAACAUGCCCACACGUAUAUUAAGAUUACCAUCUAGUUUUGGUUUCAGUAGAUUCCAGACAUGAUUGAUUGAACCUGUUGUCUCAGUAAAAUUGCAUUGAAAUCGAUCAAUUUCACCAUAAGUGGUUAAAUCUGCUGAGGGAGGCAGUUAUGGAUCAGAAUCAGCCUAAGUUCAACUGUGGGAACAAAAUAACACUAAAUUUGAGUGCCCCAGAAUGAUUUAGAAGUAAUGAAAGGGGGCUUUGUAGCGAUAUGUUGGUGUGAAAAUUAUUUUUUGCAGACUCAUCUACCUUUUUUCACUGAUACUCAUUUUAGGGAGUCAAGGUGAUGAUUCAGUAUUGUGAUCGAAGGAUGCAGAUUUUGGUUAUCCUGUGUUUUCAGAAAAAAAAUGCUUUUAGAAAGAGAUGUUUAAGAAGUGAGAGAUCUCCCUCCAUUACAUGGUCCUUGCAUGAUAAAUAUGGAGGGACUGAGUUCCCAAAUUUUGUAUAUCAGAAAUCUGCAAAGUUUUCUCUAUAUAGCUCCUGUACAAUGCCCCUGCCCAGUCCCAUUCUAGAGGGUGGGAAUUGCAAAAUUGUUUGAGGCCCUGUAGACCCACUUUGCAAGCAAGCCAUUGUUUGGAGUCUGGGAGUUUGUCCAAGAAAAAAUCCUUGAGAUGGGAAAAUCUUGCUGAUAAAGGGAUUGACGUGGAGUAAAAGAGCUCAGUGUUCUGUGUAUGAUGAGUCAAUCGACUACUACUUUAUUAAAAAUUCUUCUUGUGCAGUAAAUAUUUCCUCAUAUUAUACAAUAUCUUAGUCCCUGCAAAAUUGUCUGCCAUGGCUGUUAAAUUGGUCUUCAUUGUCCUUCAAGAAGAGACUUGAUGAUCAUGUAGCAGUGUGAUAUAAGGAAAAGACGAAAUAGAAUGUUCUCCAAAAUAUUGAAGUUCAAAGUCAUGCAUCAGAUGAUUUCAUUAUUAACUGCAAUUAUUGAAUAUUUAAGAAUGAAGAAACUUGGCAACCAGAUACAUAAUUUCAAGUUCAAACCGAAGCUCUGAAGUAUGAACUACUUGUUAGUUGUAUAUUUAAUGACUGAGGGGUAAAAUCAAUGGCUUACUACUAGUAGAUUGAUACCACAACAGUAAAAAAAGAAUUGUUAGCAUUUGUCCUAUGCACAAAGUAGCCACAUCUAUGGAUUUGACAGCGUAGAAGAUACGCCAAGGAAGAAUCUCAUUCAUUUUUUAUCGGUUCUCAUUACUUAAAUCCAUAAACUCUGGAGCAUGAAGUCCCUCCGAUCUUUAACAAUCAUAGAAACAAAAAAUGAAAAGGCUAAAUCAUAUUAGACAAUACAGAUUAACUUGAUGAACAAAGCAUAAAAGUAUUCCUGGAUGGUCAAACGCAUUAAGCAUCACCAUUCCCGGGAAAACCCUAAAAAGAUCAGAUUUUUAUGCCAAAUCCCAAAACAAGCAACAGAUGUCAUAUACAUUAAUGAAAACGAACUUUAAAUUUAGCCGACCAAAAUAUUUACCAAGACCCAGCAACACGUUGGAUUUUAUGGUUCUUAAUCUUUCCCCGUACAUUAGAGAGCAAACAUAGAUCAAAGAGAUAAGAAUCUUAUCAUUUUUAUAUUCAUCUAUCUCACCUUUUACCUUCUUCUACCUCUCCCAUUGGGAACUCCAACAUUGCCUCCCAUCUCCAUUCCAACCUCAACGCAACCCUCCCAUCACCUCACCACUGCCUGCAACCUUUCUCUCCACUGUUCUCAAUAACAUACUUAAAUCAUUUUAGCUGUCAAGAGGAGUCUCUAAUGCCUAGUUUGGUUCUUCAAAUUCUCUUUUGUCCAGCAAAGUGUUGCAUUUAUUAAGGUUACAUUUGGUAGCCGGCAGUCUAUUCGGAUUAUCGAUAAUUUGAAAUGGAUCUAUUAGAUUAUUAUGUUUGGUAUGCUUUUUGGAUGGCUAUCUAGAUUGUUUGGCAAUCUAUCUUGCCUCUCAAUAGGUUAUUUAAAUUGCCUCGGAGAUGGGUGACUAUCCAGAUCACCAUUUCUUUGGCAAUGUUAUAAAAAAAGUUUUGGAUAAAAUUAUCCCUUAAAAAAAUUAUACAACACCCAUCUUUCUGAUCGUGGUGGCGCUGUGGCGGAGGCCCACCCCCUCCUCCUCCUCCUCCCAUCCCAAUGGGUUCCUUCCAUUCCUCUCACGACUGUAGGUACAACGACGACGAUGAUGAUGAAGAGGAGCACGGGCUCCUUGCGAACUUUAAGACCUCCAAGAAGAAGGUCUUCGAGCAAGAGCCCAAGGUCCUCCCAUACCGUACUGCUACCUCUUCACUCUCUCUCCAGCUCUCCAUCGUCGACACCUCGCACCUCCUUAGCCCCUCCAUUCAGAUCUGGGAUCCCUACAACAUCCUUCUCCGCUUGCCUCUACUUGCAUCUGCAAUCUUAUUCGAAAGCCUCAUGGAUUGGGCCACAGAGGUGCUCCUUAUUACCCAUGACGAGUGCGAGACAGGCUUGUGGCUAGAUCUGGUCGGCAAGUGGUGGCCGAUGGUAAGGUUGAGCUCCAGGGGGCGCCAGGCCAAGGCUUUGACCAUAUUCAAGAUAUGAUGUUUACUUCCAUAUACACGUCGCUAUUUGAUCGGGCGAAGGCUAUUGCGGCCUUUAUUUGUACCAAAUAUACAGUAAUUUGACUUAGGAGCAUUUUAAAAUUUGAUUUCACAUUAUCGAUAAUAUGAUUGUCAUACCAAACAUGUCAAUCAAGAUUUUUAAUAAUUUUUCUGUAAUAUUACUUGAGUGUUCUAAAUACAGUAAUCAACAUUACUAGCAAUUUAAUGGUGGCAAUCUAUCUUGAAGGCAAUCUACAUUAUCUUUCAAGAUUGUCUGGUGAUGCAUCAAACGCAACUUAAAGUAAACCAUUUUGAGAUAGCAAUCAAACUUUGAUAUUGGGUCGCACUUAUUAUUUUAAAAUAUAUUAAUAUCUUAAUAAUUAUAUUAUUUUUUUGGUAAGACAGGGCACUCAUACAUUGCGAGUAUGAACACAGUCAAAAUUGUCAAAAAAAAAAUAUUUUGAAAUGCCCGCAGCAUCUCGACCAUCUCAAACCAUACAACUAUUCUGGUGUGCUCAGCUGCAAAGGAAACCAUCCAGUCAGCUGCAUUAUUGAUCUCAUAGUAGAUAUGUUUGAUCUCAUUUGAGGAACAACCUCGAAUUUACUGAGGAUGGGGUGAGCAUCCCUGUCCGUCUAUUGCUUUCGCAACCAACGAUUGACCAUGACCAAAUUGCCCUCCACAAUCAAUAAUUAUAUGUUUUUGAGAGAUUUUAUAUAUAUAUAUAUUUUAAAAGAACUUAAAAACUCCCCUCUGGCCAAAAAAAAAAGGGAAAGUAAAAUCUAGAUAUUCUAAAAUCUUAAUCUUGGCGUGAGAAAUAUUCUCAUGACAAAGUUUUAGAAGGUGCUGCCUCCACGUUUGCAUGAUUUGCAGCAUGUGAUAUCAUUGGUUGCUUUUUAACAUUAUACUAGAGAAAAUAAUGAUUAAUAAUUAUCCAAUAAUAAAAUUGUCUCAUACUUCUAGUUUCUUAUAGGCAUCAAUGAUAUGAUUGUUAUUAAACAUAAUAAUUAAAAUUGCAUGAUCUAAUUUGCAAGGAAGGAUCUCAUCUUCCUCACUUGAUGAGGUUGCCACUGUUGUGGGUUUUCCCUAUAUAUGACGGCCAGACAUAAUUAAGUUUGGUAGGAAGUUUGUAAUUUGCUAGAAAUUUUGAUCCUUUUAUCAUGUUCGUUUUACUUGACUAAAUACAUUAUGACAUUGCAUUGCACUGGAAUUGUUCUCCAUAAAACCUUUUAUUAUGCAACAACUUCCUAGCAUAAACAAGGAAAUAUGAUCCGUCUCUAAGAUUUCAAUGUGCACGAGACUUGAGUAUCUUGUAGCAUAAUCAUAGAGGAUUAGACUUUAGCUGGCACAUUAAUUAGGCAUCGGUCUGUAUCAACUUCAAUUUGGUUAGAACCUCUCGACAUUUCACGAUAUGGACUUUGCAUUUGGCAAAUCACAUUCAUUGAGGAUGGCAUGGUCAAGAGAAUGAUAAUUGACUAAUUGCUAGUAGUGCUUUAAAAGCAAAUUGCAUGCAUCGAUUCUUUCAACUUAAUUUUUGAAUAUUUUGUUUGCACGAUUCAAUUAAGAAAAAAAUAAAUAAAUAAAUCACAUGCAUGAUGCUUUGUUUUAAAUAUGAUUCACCUACCUUCGCACAUGUUUCAUUAAUCCACAUGACUUCCGCAUGACAUUGGCAAACAAAUCAACAAAAUAAAUGGAAAGGUAUUUCAAUACUCAAGUAUACAUGCAAUGCAAGCUCACCUUGCACGUGUUAGCUUGCGUGCUAGAGCCGGUGUAAUUUGGGUUCGGGGGACAAGAUGCAUAGGAUUCAUUAAUGAUUGAACAAAAAGAGCCAUGAAAAAAUAUUUAAAAGGAAGCUUCCAACCCAAAAGGUGGUGAGACUGUGAUCAUCCGUGCAAAGCCAAUGAUAUUUCUUCUUCGAACCAUUAACCAAACAAUGCCUCGCCGCGUACCAUCCACGGUUUGAUUCGUUUGCCCUCGUGGUACAGACAAUGCCGUGGCGGCUGCUGCUUUGUUCUGAACAGCGAUCGCGCUGUUUGAUGUGUACUUCCAGUGUCGCAAGGAGCUUCCGUGGCAUCAACCUUUCCCGCUCCGUCUCUCUCCAUCCAAGGCAAGAGAAUAAAAGAAAAAGAUAUAUUAUAUAAAAAAUUAUUAUUUAUUGUUGAAAUGAACGAAACAACUCUCUUGAUUUUUUUAAAAUAUAUAAAAAUAAUUUUAUAUACUAUUUAUAAAUAAAAUAUUUAAAAAUAAAUAUUAUAAUAAAAUAAAUAAUGAAAAAUAAAAUCAUAGACAUUAUAAAAUGAAUGAAAGAAUAGCUGGACAAUAAUAAUUUUAAGAUGGUUAUUGUCUCACUUAAAGAUAUAUAUUUUUUUUUUCUAUUCAAAUUUACCGUCCACCACAACCGAACCCUGUUUCAUUUUGUAUCUUUUUAGUAUUUAUUUUAAAUUUUAUUUUUUAUAUCCUGUGACAUCAUUUAAUAUUUUAUAGGAGUGGCCUUUCUUCUCCCUAAGUCUUUAUAUCUGGAUUCAAGUAAACGACGCUAUAAGAACUAUAUCUUGAUACAUACUUUUUAUAUCUAAGAUCGUUGUCGGAGUUUUAAUAUAAUAAAUAAAAAUAUAUAAAAAAUAAAAAAAAAAGUGACAGUCUAUUUCAUGAAUAAUAAAAAAAGUUAAUACAAAAAAUUAAUAUUUUUAUAUUUAAUUAAAAUAUAUUUUAUUCUUUUUAACAAUCAAAUAGGCAAGAAAGUGCACGAACAUCCGUAUUUAUAUUAGUUCUUACUCAUUUAAGAAAGAAAAAUAAAUAUAUAUAAAUAAAAAAUUAAAAAAAAUGAUUCAUUAAUUUAUAAUACUAAAUUUUCAUGAAUUAUUCAUCUAUCACUAUUUUAAUACUUCACAAUCUUAUCAAAAAAUAUUAAUAAAAAAAUAUUAUUUAAAUUUUUUGAUCUAUAUAAUUAUUUAACAUCUUUUUAUCAAAUAACUUAGCAUCCAGCUCUAAUAAAUCCGUACUGUAAUAUCUCUUGAUCCAAUCUAUAACAAUCAUGAUUUUAUUCGAAAAGAUUAAAUAAAAAAUAUUAUAUUUUAAUAAAUAAUAGAUAUGACAUUAAAUAUAUGAUUAGAUAGGUCCUUAGAGUAAGCUCGUAUUAUCGAACUUGUCAUUAGCAUAAUAGCAAGCCCUCUCCUUGUGUCUCCACUAAUAAAAAACGGUCAUUAUUCAUAAUAGAUUAAAAAAAUAAAAAAAUAAUACUAAAAUUAGAUUGAAUAUGGAUCAUAUAUUAAUAUAUUUAUAUUUAUAUUUAUUUUUUUCUAAUAAAUAUAAAUAUGGAUAUGAAUAUUAUUCGGAUAUAAAUAUUCAUAUCCAUAUUUAUUUUAAACGGAUAUGGAUAUAAUUGGAAUAUUGAGAGUAUAAAUAUAAUUAUGGAUAUAAAUUAGAUAAUUAAAUAUUAAGAUUAUAAAAUUAAAAAUAUUAUCUAAUAGAUAAUAAAUUAAAUUAAUAAUAUAUUUAUAUAAUUAUAUAUAUUUUUAAAUAAAUUAAUAAAUAUUAUAUAAGAUUAUAUAAGAUUAUAAGUAGAUUAUUUAAAUNNNNNNNNNNNNNNNNNNNNUUAAUAAUUAAUAUAUAAUAUAUUAUAUAUAUAUAUAUAUAUAUAUAUAUAUAUAUAUAUAUAUUGGUGGUGGGCGUGAAUAUUAAUCGUAUCUUUAAAUUUGUUUCCAUAUUCAGCUUGAUUUGGAUAUGAAAAUAUUUUCGGAUAGAUAUUAUCCACGCCUCUUUCACCUUCAGGGAAGGAGAGGGAAAAAAGAUUAUUGUCGUUAUUAAAUGAGCAUGUGGUUAUAUAUGAGGAGCAGCGGGAUCUCCAUCCGGGAUGGGGGCCUUCCAAGCCUAAGCACGAAGCUUCUCCCUUUUAUCUUCCCUUCUUCUCGCUCGAAGGGCGACUCGAAGAUAGGGAGGUAGAGAUCGAAACUCGCCGGCAUUCGCGUCCUCCAGGCGGAAUCUGACCAAAAUCUUGGUAAGAUUCGAUAAUCUUCUCCAUUUAAAUCUUUCCCCUUUUAUUUCCUUGCUAGAUUUAUGUAGCGGGUAGUGAUCUCAUCCUCUUUGAAGUUUCCGGUCUUCCGACAUCUGGAGGCGUCUUCCUGUCUCGGUCCGGGCCCUUCGAGACGGAUCUCUGGGCGGCUGCGGCAAUGCGGCGUGGGAAUUGUUGGAUUAUUCGAGGAAAAUGAUUGAAGUUUUAAUUUUUAUGCUUCUGUCGUUGGACUAGGGUUUCCACACCUGUUAGGAAUUUUUUUAAUUUAGAAAAAAUAAUAAUUUAAGUUUUUUAAAUAUAAUUUUGAUGAACUCGACCUUUUUACCCAAACAUUUUCAACCUUGAGAGUUUUGUUUAACUUUAUGUGCUUCAGUUGAAUACCAGCCUACUUGCUUGGCUUAUCGAGCUAAUUUGCGUCCCUACCACAAAAAGUCCAUUUUGAUGCUCCUUUUAAGUGCCAUUUUUUUUUUUUUAAAGGAUUUGGAUAAGUCUGCUCUUUUCCCGCCUUUUCUUUUACAAUCUUUUGCUUUAAUUGAAUAUCAACCGUGUCUUUCUCUAGUUUCUGAUUUCCAACAACUAAGAUGAUUUCUUGUGUGCUUCUAUUGUAACGAAGUCUAUUCUCAAUUCCUGUCUCAGAGUCUGAUCGCAAAUACAUGAUUUCCUUUCUAUAAGCCUGCUCUUUUCUUAUGCUAUUCCUUUUUUUCUUGUAAGUCUUAUCUGCAUUGUUGAGUUCUUCCCCUUCUUCAUCUAGCUAUAAUUAUGCUUAGGAUGUUAACCAAGUUUCUUUUAGAAUUUUGAACCCCUUUUCUAGGGUAAGAACGACACAUUAAUUGGAUCUGAUCAUAAGCUUAGCCUUCAUUAGAGUACUGAAUUAUGAUUAUUAAAGAAAUAACUCUAAAUGGUUAGGAUUCAUUUCCUUUCUUCCUUUCAAGGAAGGCAUUUUUUUUUUUUUUGAUGAAAUUGGAGACUAAUGGGCAGUUUACCCCAUUAGUCACCAGCAAUCUUAUUGAAACAAGGAAGGCACAAUUACAACAUGAUUCAUAGUCAUUUGAAAGGAUUCUGGAGGACUUUUCCUUUCUGUUACAUGCAUACUUGAUAAAAAUAACUAACAAAAGAGAAUUCAUAACACCGACCCUAUAAUAAAGCUUGAUGCUUCAGGACACGGUUCUGCUUCACUUCAAAGAGUUGAAAGAAACAAUUGGUUUCUCAGAAAAAAAAAAAAGGAAGAAAAAAACUCUAAUAAGAGUUAAAACGAAGUAUCUUUUACCAUUGGUUUGAUUUGUUUAUUGAGAACUUCAAUGGUCUAGCUUGCUCUCAUUGAUGAAUCCAGCCGUGUAUUAGCUGGAAUUUGGAGCUUCAUUCCAGCUAGAACGUAACGACAAUUUUCACCUAAACCUGACCGAUUUUUAUGCUUUGAGCGACACCUGCAUUGUCUUUUGAGUUCUUUCCACACUGUCCAACCGCAGUUUUCAGUUCCUCUGGUUUCUUGCUGGCAUAUCAAGACAUUAUGAUCUUGUCACUUUCUUGGUGCUUGGAAGGAAUUAGCCUGAGCAGAGUGGAUGCCAGGCUGGUAACAUCAAUAGCUUUUCAGUCCUUUAUGAACAAGGUGGCAAUCACUCUCCAUUCACAAAUGUGAAGAUAGAGUUCCAUAAAGUAGAAUACUGCAGCUUCUUCUCAGGUUUGGUUUUGCUUUGUGGUACUGAUUUCUGCCAUUUGAUCAACAGGGGACGAAGGGAGCAGUCGACAAUGAAGGCACUAAUCCUUGUUGGAGGUUUUGGCACCCGCUUGCGGCCUUUGACGCUCAGUGUCCCAAAGCCUAUAGUUGAUUUUGCCAACAAGCCCAUGAUCCUGCAUCAGGUAUAUGUUUUCUGUAGUUAUGACAUUGUCUGAGUAAAUAAGAGGAAGAGUAAUGCCAUCAAAGUAAAAAACUGUUUUUUCAUAUAUAGUUGAUAUCUGGCCUUUGAACAUAAUCUAAUUUUAGCAUGUUCUGCCUCUAUUUGUGUGUGAUAAGCCAGUUACAUGAAUGUAAGAAUAGUUUUUGGCAAGAUGAAGAACACUGCAGUUCUUUCUAAAUAUGUUUCCCCUCUACGUAUAUCAUUUAGUGUACUUUGUGACUCUUCCUGCUAAAUUCUAAAUCAGAUUAAAGGACUGUCACUUGUGAGAUUGCAUUAGCGUUUUGAAUGUCAAGAGUUGGCCCCAAUUGUGGUUUCAAGUAGAUUUGUCUUUAUGGCCAGAUCUUCUUUUUGCCACUUCAAUUUCAUUUUUGCCUAAUUUUAGACUAUUCAUCUGACCUUUUUAAAGCAUGCCUUAGUAGGUCCAUGUAUAUAGUUUUUUUGGAUUGAAUCACUUCUAUAUUGUUGUAGAUCUCUCGCAACAAUUAUCAGUUAAGAAAUUUUUUUUAAAUUAUUAUCGAGAAUCAAGUGGAUUUUUGUCAAGUAUAUUGAUCUCUAUAGUUAGGUCUUUCUUUCUGUGACUUUAACUACUUUUUUGGGCUAACAUCACUGUAUUUGUACAUCCGUAAAUGCAUACUUUGGUAGAUGCAUCUCUGUAGAUUCUUUUCAGAUUGAAUCACCUUGAUCUUGUUGAUCCGUUACUUUUUCUGGCAGAAGGAAAGAUGAGCCAUCCUUAUAGCUUUUAUUUACUCAUAGUCUCAUAGUGUUGGUCUGAAUCAAUAUUGUUGGCUUUUUGGAUAUAAUGCUGGAUUCAACAAUCAAAUUACUCAUUAUAACCAAUGGUUUAUAACACUUGUGAUCAGAUUGAAGCUUUGAAAGAGGUUGGGGUGACAGAAGUUGUUUUGGCCAUUAAUUAUCAACCAGAGGUAAAAGCAAUCUAUAUCUACCAGUUUUCUAUACUAUUUAGCGGACUGUCUUGCAAUUAAGUUUCUGCAUGCCCUAAUCUGAGGUCUCUUUAUUCAGGUAAUGCUCAACUUUUUAAAGGAUUUUGAGAGCAAGCUUGAUAUCAAGAUUACCUGCUCCCAAGAGACAGAGCCAUUAGGAACAGCUGGUCCCCUGGCUCUAGCGAGAGACAAGCUAAUAGAUGGUUCUGGGGAACCCUUCUUUGUCCUCAACAGUGAUGUCAUCAGUGAAUAUCCAUUUGCUGAACUGAUUAAGUUCCACAAAGCACAUGGUGGAGAGGCUACGAUUAUGGUAACCAAGGUAUAAACCAAGUCUUGGUAAUUAUUUCCUGUAACAUUUGUUUUAUUUGCAGCCUAACCCUUUAUCUGAUAGGUUGAUGAGCCCUCCAAGUAUGGUGUUGUGGUUAUGGAGGAGGAGACAGGAAAGGUCGAUAGAUUUGUAGAGAAGCCAAAAAUAUUUGUGGGCAACAAGAUCAAUGCCGGGAUCUACUUGUUGAAUCCGUCUGUCUUGGACCGCAUCGAACUGAAGCCCACCUCAAUCGAGAAAGAAGUUUUCCCCAAAAUUGCAGCAGAUCAAAAGCUCUAUGCCAUGGUCCUGCCUGGUUUCUGGAUGGACAUAGGACAGCCAAGGGACUACAUCACCGGCCUAAGGCUCUACCUGGAUUCUCUUCGCAAGAAAUCACCCUAUAAAUUAGCUGUUGGCCCACACAUUGUGGGGAAUGUCUUGGUACAUGAGACUGCCGUGAUUGGAGAGGGGUGCCUGAUCGGGCCAGAUGUUGCAAUUGGACAAGGUUGCGUUGUGGAGUCUGGAGUGAGGCUGUCAAGGAGCACAGUGAUGCGAGAAGUGCGGAUUAAGAAGCACGCAUGCAUCUCUAGUAGCAUCAUUGGGUGGCAUUGCACAGUUGGACAGUGGGCACGGGUUGAAAACAUGACUAUCCUUGGGGAGGAUGUGCAUGUGUGCGAUGAGAUAUAUAGCAAUGGAGGUGUUGUGCUCCCUCACAAAGAGAUCAAAUCAAGCAUUUUAAAGCCUCAGAUCGUCAUGUGAGCAUGGAAAACUGAAGUGGUUUGGGUUGCAAGUGUUCCUGUUCUUUUUCGGGUUGCAAGCGUUCCUGUUCUUUGUCUUAGCAUUUCUGUCUCAGCUGCAAGUGUAUGGGUAUUUUGCUGUCAGUCAUUCAGUUUAUAAGCGUCUGUGUAUGCAUUUUUUCACUAUUGAGCUCAUGAAAGUUUGUUGUCUGAGUGUGUAGAUAUAAGUGCCUCCAUUGGACAUGGAAAGUGGAGUUUUAUUCUGUGAUAAAAUCUCUAUGGGUAUUGUUUUAUUUGUUGUUCUUAUCCCCUUGCGUCCCUUGCGUCAGGAGCAAUAACAUUGAAAAGAUGAGCAUUAUCAGUCGUCGUUCCAUUUGUUUUGGUUUUAAUACCUUUUCCAUGAAAGAGGAUUAGUCGUUUACCAUGAACAAAUGGUAAAUACGCAAGUAACGUUUGCCAUGUGAUACAAGGGUCGCAUAAAUAAAUUGACUUCGAACCAUUAAGAAUUGAAGGCUUUGGAUUAGUAUGUAAUAGUUAGGUAAGAUUUAUAUGAUAGGUCUACUUAUGUAUUUCAACAUACUUGAUAACAUAUCUACACAUGAAUAAAGAAUCUGAUGACUAAAAGAACCUAAUCUUAUCAUCAGGAAGUUCCUUUUAAAUCAGGCAUAAAUUUUGCAAGAUGCAGAGCGUCGAUUCAGUGGCUUCACCAUUUGCGCACCCUAAGCUGAGGAGGCUCAUGUGUUACAGGAAACCAACCAGAAAAGUACUUAAAACACAUGCAUUUAUCCCAACAACCAUUUCACUCGUUAUCACAAUCAUUUGGUUUUCAUAGUCUCUUCUUUCAGCUCCCCCACUUUCAGUUUUUCCAUUCUGAGUGCAUGAAAAACCUUACAAAAUGAGCUAUGAUGAUACAUAAUACCACAGUGUGGAGGCAACUAAAUCAGCCUUUCUAUAGAAUGCCACACUAUCUAGGACUCCACCUAAGCCUCUCAAUCAGAAGCUAUUCUUACUGUAACAUAGGAAAACAUGAACAAAUGAAAGAAAGGACGGCGAAAAAGGAAGCUUAUUUUUCGAUGCUUCCAUAGCCAGCAUUGUCGUUAUCUGUUGCAGUGGAUGCAGAAAAAUGCUGACAAGGUUGGAUUGUAAAGCAUUACACGAACUAGAACUUUAUCGUACAGGCAAGCACACAAUAAAUAUGUUCUGGCAACUUGGGAAGUGACUUGCAGCUCAAAACUAAGGACCAUUUUCUUGAAUUAUGGUGAAUUUCAUUUCUUUUUUAGCAGUAAUGGAUAUCACAAAAAGAAAGAUACAUACAAGACCCGUCAAACUGAUGCCAGGAGCCAAAACAUCACUACGGAAGAUAUGGCAAUUAGCAGCCAUGUGAUAAAAGCCAAUGCAAUGGAGAUUUCGAACUUGCCACAUGAGAGUUGGAGAAUCAUUCUGCAGAAGUCUGAAUCUCUUGCAAACAGAACUGUUACAGCUGCUGAAGAGCAUGCCGCCGCAAGUGACAGAACUGCUGUUACCUGGAUUAGGUAGGAUUACUUGCCUCAGUGCAACAGAAAUAUGAAAAGAAGUCCCGUACAAGCUAAAUUUUCAACAUCCCUAGGUAUGAACAACACUUGAGGACAUGUUUAAGUAGAUUGGUAAGAGCAUGAGGUAAAUGGCUACAUCACAGAAACAGCAGCAGGAGAUAAUGGAUCCAGAACACAGUUCAUUCUAUGACUCGUUUCGGUAAUUAACAUAGCAAUGGCAUUUACCAAGAUUGCUUGCUUUCUGCUCACAAUUAUAAUGACAGUACUCAAGAUUUUGGUAUUUUGGUUUUUUUUCCUACAGCUUGCUAGCAGGAAUAAUUCAGCUGAAACCCCUUAACAAUUAAUUUCAGAAUUGAAAUUUGAUUAGAAAAAAGGAACUCACAAAGAAGAAGAAAAAAAAUGAAGAUUGGAUCAACUGUGUUUUCUUGAAGCUAUGACAAGUGCAAAAUUCCAUCUGAACAUAAGCCCAGAAAAGGAGAUCACACAGAAGUUUAAAAUAGAAUCAAUUCUUGUUCAUAUGCAACAAUAUCCAAAACAAUGCACACAAACUUGACUAGAUGAGACAGAGUGAUAACUCUAACAAGAUUGCAACUUUGAUUUGUGACCUAGGUCUAGUGAAAAAAUGAAUAUAACCAUAGCACAAUGCCUCAGCUUCAAAGGAAUGAAUGGUACGUGAGUUGAAUUGAAUAGUUUCAUAUUAUUCAAUUAUUUUAUAUGUAUAAGGUUAAUUUAUCUACCCUCGCCAUGAACAUUGUCCCUUGUUAAUCAAACAUAAAAAUGCAUAACUUUCUUGACUUUUCUUUUCACAUCAUUCAAUUUUCACAACAUGUAUUACACGUAACAAAACGUGGAUAGAUUCACAGAAUUACCCAUGGGCUUUUUGAAGAAGUCUUGACGUCAAUUCAGUUCAGGGGGUUAAGAAAAAAAGCAAAGUUCCAGAUCCUAGAUACAAAAACUGCUUUUAUCAAAUGUAUUCCUGGCACAACAAUGACUCAUUGAUUUGAGAGUGCUGUGUAAUCUGAAUUGGUUCCUUAGACUGCAAACCUUAAUAUUCCAUAAAGGUGGACCAGAGGCGACAUGACGUUAUUUACUUCCCAAAAGAAGCAGACAGAAAGGGAGUAUUGACAUGUCAUGUGGUACACAAAAUUCAUCAUGUCACACCAUAUAAAGCAGAAACAUCACAAAGAUUCUUGUAAAUGUAGCGAGUACAACUGUGAAACAAUAGUAAGCUUGCACAUCCUAUCUCUCUAAGUCAUAGAAACAUGCAUUAUUUGAGCAAAUGAUUGCAUUCAGGAUGUCCUGAAAUAUUCUGUCAAAGGGUUCCUAAAUCCCAUUUUACUUUCAUCAAAUAAAUGAAAUUAUAACAAACACUGAGCAGUGCUAAUAUGAAACAAAUAUGGGGAAAAAAAAAACAUGGGACAGAAGAUAUGGCAACAUGACUUUGUUCAUCCACUGGACAUAAAGAAAACAAAUAUUUUAAAGAGAAGCAGGAGAUAGUGAUGUAAUUUUGUAAAGGGCUCCAUGAAUUAUGUCCUAUAAACAGGUCCACCGAGCAUUUCCUGUCAGACAUUUAAGUUUCAAUUGCAUUUGCGUAUGAAGUUGCCAUAAAUGAAGUGAAAAACCCCAGCUGCCUUACAUAAGGAUUCAUGUUCUUCUGCUACAGGGAUUGAUGUAUCAUUUCCGCAUGCAAAGAGAAUAUUAAAUUCUAAGAACUUAUCAAGUCAUCUAAUUGUGACAUGUAAAUAAAACAGAGUAAAAGGAUGAAAUGUGAUUACCCAGUCACCAACCACGAACAAGCUUAAUAACAUAGGAUUAUGCAGAUCUCUUUUAAUCUUUAAAGCAUAGAUAUCAACACAUGCAAGUCCCAAGCUCCAUAAUGCUUGUAGGCCCAUAGAAGAAAUCAAAUAGCUGAAUCCAAAGGCAUUACCAACAAUUCAGUCCAAUGAAAAAGUAGAUAUCAUCAGAAUAGUAUGUAAAAUAUGCUAGACAAGCUUUACAAAGCAUAAUCUGCAAAAUUACCUUCUUUCAUUAACUUGUCAUGUCAGAAUCAUAAAAUAUGAUUGCACAAAACUGACCUAGGUAUAUCAGGUAGUAAACUUUCUUUUUUGUUAUACUUUGCUGGUUAAUUUGCUAAAAGUACUAACUAGAAACAAAUAAUCUAUGUGCUGACUAUUUUGAACAAGUUCGAUGCCAUUUAUUCUUGUUGAUUAUUUAAGUUUGGAGAUACAUACGUAGUGCUAAUUUGUGGGUGCCCAUACAACAGCCAAAAUAAAGUCACUCCUAACUGGAGGAUCAGAGCAUGUCAUUGAUGAUUUGAGCCUUUAGAUGUGAUCUAGCAUCUCUAAAUUCCUUGUUGCUAAAAAAUCAUGUGAUUUGGAUAUCACUAGCAUAUGCAGCCAAUGAUCAAUAUAUAUAUAUAUAUAUUAUUCAUGCUAUUUAAAUAAUCCAUUUUUACCAUUGGAUGUAUAAGCGAUGCAUAGGCUAGGAACCUCCAAAUCAAAUGAUUUUUUGACAGUAAAUAGUAUAGAGAUAGUAGAUAACAUUGAAUGGCUUGGAUCAUCGGUUCCAGGCUCUCAAUCAUCUGGUCCGGACUGACCUUAUUCAAUUGUUGUGUAAGUAUGUGCAUGUGUUGGACAGUAAUAGGCAACACAAAGGGGGUAGUGCCCCUCUAAUACCCUUAACUCUCUAAUCCCCGGUGAAGGCAAGAUUUGAUCCCAAGCUAGAAAGUUGGUAUUCUUGCUAAAGACUUUACCGACUUGGUAAGCUGACACCUUCAUAAUAAUCAAAUUUGAGUUCAAGAAUCAUGUUCAUUAAAUUUGGAAUGAUUUUGUAAACUAAGCUAUAUUAUUAGAGUAAGUUAGUACAAUAUCAACAACGGAGUAGAUAAGAACUUCCAUCCAUCAAGACUAAAAACACCAAAUUCUCCUAAUUAGAUUUUCCUGAAGAUACAGAGUUAUAGCAUGUGAAGAAAAAAUUGACAAUGUGCGUAUUUAUUCAUUGUAAAAAAAAAUAAAAAUUGAUUUAGUAGCUCAGACAUCAACAACAAUAAGCAAUCUUCCUUAGAGACAAAUAGUUUAUCAAAGUUUGGAAUCAAAAUGAUUCGGAAAAGUACAACUUUGUUGAGAUCAUCAUUUCAAUAAAUGAGAUAAAAAUCAGUCUUUGUUAUUGUUUCUCAUGAACAUAACCAGGCAUUUAUGGCGGGUUUCCCACCUCACAAGAACUCUUGGGUCAUUUGAUGAGCACGUGCGAGAACAAAAUUCCACACCUCGUUAUGUUACUUGCAUACUCAUUCUCCAUCCUAACAACAUUCAUUAAAACUAGCAUAAUGGGACAAUAGCCAUCCUCCAUGUUAGAACUAGGCCCUAUGAGGAAGCUUCUCUAGUGCACAAAUUAUCUUGUGUUCAUUCUUCUAGUCCCAGUUCCGUACUCUUCUCUAUUCUAACUUCCUUCAAAUUCAGUAGCACAUCAAGGAACACUAUCCUGUAUAAAUAUCCAAACUUUUCAACAACAUGCAUCUAUCAUUGGAAAAAUUUUCCAAGACAUUACACACUUUUUACCAGAGAAUUUAGUGCAAGCCACAAUCACCUUUAAACACACAAAUAAUAUAAGCAUCAACC
rnacentral:lncRNA from 1 species